rnacentral:lncRNA from 1 species
UAAUCUCAUUUUGUAAAAUAUCGAUGCAAAGAAAUGCGUCGAUAUAUAUAUAUAUAUUUAUGUAUGUAUAGCAUAUGAGAUUAAUUAAAAAUAUAUAUCUGGGCUAGAUUAAAUAAAGGGCAAAUCUCCAAAAUAGCACAUUUCCAAGUUUAUAUCACAAAAAUAGCACUCAAAAACUAAAAUGACCAAAAUAGCACAUUUCUAAGUUUAUCCUUUGAAAGUUUUAAUUUUUUUAUUUUUCAAAAUUUGAAAUCUUAUCCCCAAAACCUCAUUUCUCAACUCUAAACCCUAAACCCUAAACUCUAAACCCUAAACCCUAAACUCUAAACCCUAAACCCUAAACCAUAAACCCUAAACCCUAAAUUCUAAAUCCUAAACCCUAAACUCUAAACCCUAAACCCUAAACCCUAAAAUCUAAACCCUAAACCCUAGACUCUAAACCCUAAACCCUAAACCCUAAAUCCUAAACCCCACCCUUUAACUCUAAACCCUAAGUUUGUGACUUUUGAUAAAACAUUAAGUGCUAUUUUUGUGACUUUUGACUGUUAUCAUCUUCAUCGACUCGCUGUUCUUCGCCUUCUUUGCGCUCUAUCACUUCUUCUCGGUGGUUUUUGCGCUUCUUCUUUCACUUUCUUGGUGAUUCUCGUUCGUUGAUCGUUGCUUGGUGAUCUCGGAAUCUUGAUCCUCUGAUUCAUCUUUUGUUCACCAUGCCGAUCUCUUAUGCGAAUGCUGUUAACAAUACUCCGACGUCGGCGUCGAAUCCUCACACGACGGUGCCUCGUUCGGAGCCUACGGCGUCUAUUCAAGAUCCGAACUCCAAUCCUCUCUACGUUCAUCAUGCUGAUCAUGCUGGUAUUGCUCUUGUUUCUGAGAAGCUAGCUGGUUUAGGCAAUUUCAAUACUUGGCGUCGAUCUAUGCUUAUGGCGUUAGGAGCUCGGAACAAAGCUGUUUUUGUUGAUGGAACCUUUCCGGAAUUGCGUGAUGAUCAUCCGGACUUUGCAUCUUGGUCAAGAUGCAACAACAUUGAAAAUUAUGAUGUAUGCGUUGAUUUACAUAUCGCAAUGUUGCUCGUAUUCAAAUUUAAGCUGUCUCGUAAAAUUCAGAUCAAAUUAAAAAUAAUCUGAUAUCGCAAUGUUGCAUGCAUACGUUUAUAUUUGUGUAUAAAUGAAGAUAUAUGUGAUCAAGUGGCUGCGCGUGCGGAGGUGAACCAGUUAAACUUUAAACAAGUUGAUCAUAAGUUAUCAACUUUAGAAGUCUUAACAAACAAACAAAAACCUUUAGAAGUCCAAAAGUAAAAAGGAUCUCGACACAGAAUUAUUAAUCGUCAAAGGAAAUUUUGUUGGAAAAGAAAAAGAAAAAAUGUUUUCUGGUUAAAAAAGGAAAAUUUCUGGUUAAAAGGGGAAAAUGGCAGGUUGUACUAUUAACCUACAAAUAUUCCUGGAAUUUUGUUUCACACUUUGUCUUGAUAAUUCGUUCUGUACCUUCUUGUUAUUUGAAGCAAACCUAUGUUCUCUACUUUAAUUUUUUUUUAAAAAAUUAAAAAUAUUCAUUAUCUUCAACCCGAAAAGGGGAUAAACGGAACUUACAACUCCGGUGUGCCAGUGAAACAUGAUAAGCUAGGUUACAACAAAACAGUUAGAGGAUGUACAAGCAAACAGACUAGCAGACAAAGGAGAGAGGUCGUGGGAAGUAGGCGGGAAAGCGCGCGAGCUUCCCCUUUGGUGGACCAAAACACAUAAAUAAAGGUUUUGCUCACUGCCCAGUGGUUUAAAGUGUUUAAUUUUUUUUUUUGAACACGAAUUUAAUUGAUUAGGUGGUUAAUUGGGGGCAGUAAAAGCAUCCCCAACAAACAAUGUUUCGGAUACAAGCAGGGCAUCCUUUGCCAACCUAUCAGCUAUUACAUUUCUUUCUCGGGGAAUCCAAGAAAAAUUGACAAACUCAAAUGCAGAAGCAUAAAACAAGAUAUCUGAGACCACCCCAUAGAGCUCGGUAGGGCAGUGGCCGUCGGUGAUAGAUUUAACAAGUUGAGAGGCAUCAGAUUCCCUAAACCCUAAACUCUAAACCCUAAACCCUAAACCCUAAAAUCUAAACCCUAAACCCUAGACUCUAAACCCUAAACCCUAAACCCUAAAUCCUAAACCCCACCCUUUAACUCUAAACCCUAAGUUUGUGACUUUUGAUAAAACAUUAAGUGCUAUUUUUGUGACUUUUGACCUUAAGUGCUAGUUUGGGAACAAAAACUUGAUUUAGUGCUAUUUUUAUCUUUUUCUCUUAAAUAAAUUUUGAUUAUUAAAUAUAAUAUUAAAACAUAUGAUUAUCACAUUUUACAAAAAAAACCAUGGCUAGGUAGAGAAAUAUACAUAAUCUAUUUGUUUGUUUAUUUGACGAUUAUGUUUCUAUUACAUUAAAAUGCUAAGGUUCAAUUUGCGACUAGAUCAUUAGCAUACUAACUAAGGAUUAGUCUAACAUUAACAUGAUUAAUUUAGUCCAAACAUUUUCAGUUAAAAUAUACCUCAGUUUCUUUUUACCAUUUUUUUUGGGCAAUCACUUUUUUCUUUACGUACGCUUUCAAGUUACCGGGUAUCAAGUAAAAUAGUAUUACACGUCCGGUUCGAACCUUGGCCACUGCGGAAUUUACAUGUGGGCUGCAGCAUCCGAGACCGAAGACCGUUACACGGUGAGCCACAUGGUGACGCCCUGGCAGCGUCCAUGCUCACUUCGGUCUCUAGUCUAGACCACUUCGGUGGGGCCAGGAUACUGGGGUUAUCAAAAAAAAAUAGUAUUACACAUAGAUUUACCGAUUACUUUACCAAACAUAUAGUUAUAUUUAAUGUUAAUAUACGUUAAACUGUGAUUACGUGGUCACACCGAAAAAGGGGAGAAUCGGAGGUGGGGUGUGUCUAACAUUCCAAUUGCGACCCACCAAACUUCUCAAUUUGUUAUAAAACUAUUAAUCUUUUAACGUAAGAUAAUAUAUUCAUAUUUUCAGAAACGAGAGUCGGAACCUAGAAUCUUCGGGUGGCAUUGUAAGCUUUUUCAGUUUUCUUUAACCUCAAAAAGAAAGUACUAUAUUUCUUCUGUUGUAUAAUUGCAUAUACACACAUACGCGUGAUUGAUUCCAUAAUUAGAAUUUACCUCUUUAUGCAAAAGUAGCAAAGAACAUACAAUCGUAACAUUUAUACCAAAAAACAUACAUACAUAAGUUAAAACACACGUUAACAUUAAUUUCUACUUCAAACAAAAUUAUGAUGUAUGCGUUGAUUUACAUAUCGCAAUGUUGCUCGUAUUCAAAUUUAAGCUGUCUCGUAAAAUUCAGAUCAAAUUAAAAAUAAUCUGAUAUCGCAAUGUUGCAUGCAUACGUUUAUAUUUGUGUAUAAAUGAAGAUAUAUGUGAUCAAGUGGCUGCGCGUGCGGAGGUGAACCAGUUAAACUUUAAACAAGUUGAUCAUAAGUUAUCAACUUUAGAAGUCUUAACAAACAAACAAAAACCUUUAGAAGUCCAAAAGUAAAAAGGAUCUCGACACAGAAUUAUUAAUCGUCAAAGGAAAUUUUGUUGGAAAAGAAAAAGAAAAAAUGUUUUCUGGUUAAAAAAGGAAAAUUUCUGGUUAAAAGGGGAAAAUGGCAGGUUGUACUAUUAACCUACAAAUAUUCCUGGAAUUUUGUUUCACACUUUGUCUUGAUAAUUCGUUCUGUACCUUCUUGUUAUUUGAAGCAAACCUAUGUUCUCUACUUUAAUUUUUUUUUAAAAAAUUAAAAAUAUUCAUUAUCUUCAACCCGAAAAGGGGAUAAACGGAACUUACAACUCCGGUGUGCCAGUGAAACAUGAUAAGCUAGGUUACAACAAAACAGUUAGAGGAUGUACAAGCAAACAGACUAGCAGACAAAGGAGAGAGGUCGUGGGAAGUAGGCGGGAAAGCGCGCGAGCUUCCCCUUUGGUGGACCAAAACACAUAAAUAAAGGUUUUGCUCACUGCCCAGUGGUUUAAAGUGUUUAAUUUUUUUUUUUGAACACGAAUUUAAUUGAUUAGGUGGUUAAUUGGGGGCAGUAAAAGCAUCCCCAACAAACAAUGUUUCGGAUACAAGCAGGGCAUCCUUUGCCAACCUAUCAGCUAUUACAUUUCUUUCUCGGGGAAUCCAAGAAAAAUUGACAAACUCAAAUGCAGAAGCAUAAAACAAGAUAUCUGAGACCACCCCAUAGAGCUCGGUAGGGCAGUGGCCGUCGGUGAUAGAUUUAACAAGUUGAGAGGCAUCAGAUUCAAAGAGAACCGUCUUGAUUUGCAGAUUUUGACAGGUGAUGAUUGCUUCGCGGAGAGCAAGACUCUCAGCUAUGAGCGGAGAUCCCACACACCUUGUCUUUGCUUUGAAGGAUUGGUUACCAGAGCUAGAGAGGAUAACCCAUCCCAAGCCGGCUGAAUUGUUUGCGCUGGACCAUGCCGCAUCAGAUCGAACAACCACUGCGCCCGCUGGAAGAGCCUUGCCCUGUGUGGGCUUGUGGAGGUGACGCGCUGGUUCCUUCUUCACUUCCCUUGACCAUUCACGUGCUAGUGCAAUGGCAGAGGACAAUGUAGUUUCUAGGGAGGCAGAGUGGCCAUCAAAGACAAAGUUGUUUCGAGCUUUCAACAGCAUCCAUAGGAUCCAAGGAAACAGAGAGCCCGACGUUAUACCUGCAGGGGGGAGACAUUGUUUCGCACAGAAAGAGGUCCAGCUAGACAUUAAAUCUAUCAUUCCUCUGAAAUCCAGUUCGGACGUGAAAGGGGCUAGUUGCCAGACUUGCUGUGCAAACCUACACUGGAAGAAGAGAUGAGUAAUAGAUUCUGAGCAGCCGCACCUCUUACAAAGGGGGUCAACAACAAUGUGUCUCUCUAGUAGUUGUUCACCAACCGGCAGUGCUCCUUUGAGUAGUUUCCAUGAGAACAGUUUCACUUUUGGUGCACAUGGCAAGUUCCAUACAUUAGUGCUCCAUUUGAAGUUCGCACCACCCUGGUUUCUAGCAAACAACUCCUCUCCAUUAACCGUAGUAUAGUACCCUGACUUGGUGGUGUAAUCGCCGGAUUUUGUUCCCAGCCAGAUAAGUUUGUCCGGAGCCCCGGUGCGGCUUGGUUUGAGGUUCGUGAUCAAGUCUUUGUAGUCUGGUAAGAUCAGGUUGAUUCUCUGUAUGUCCCAUUCUCGUGUCUCAGGGAUCAAAAGAUCUACAACCGUGAGGAGCAUGUGCUCUUCUCCUGAUGGUCCCAUUGGUCUCAUUUGUACAUUCAGGCUCAGCCAAGGGUCGUUCCAGAUAUUGAUCGAGCUUCCUUCUCAGAACACAACUCCUGAUGAUAAUGUUGUUGCUGCGUAUAAUGCUGGAUACUCAAGGAACAAGAAUCGUCCUAUAUGCUCUCACUGUGGAAUUGCUGGUCACACCAUUCAACGUUGCUACAAACUCCAUGGCUAUCCUCAAGGCUAUAAGCAGUCGCCGAACUACAAUGCCAGGGCUCAGGGUCAGACUUCUAAACCGUCGAAUAAUCCUCCCCGCCAAGAGAAUGUAGCUAACAUGGUAGUACAAGAUACGGGUGGUAUCUCCUUACACAAUCAACAGGGUGUUUGUUUGGGGACAGUCACAUCUGAACAAGUGCAUCAGCUUCUAAGCGUCUUGAACAACCCUAUCAAUGAUCAGCUCUCUCAGAUUUCUGGCAGCACGAUUUGUCUCGCAGAUGGAACAACUUCUUCACCUAAACCACAACCUCACCUCUUACCCCAUACAUCUUCAUCCCCACCAUCAGGUACACAUAUUCCUUCUCAUUUUAUUUCUGCGGGAAUGAAGAAUGGCCUUACUUAUACGCAUGCUGCUUGGAUUAUUGAUACGGGUGCUAGCUGUCAUGUUUGUGCUGAUUUGACCAUGUUUCAUAGUACACAAACCAUUAGUGAUACUGUUGUGACUCUCCCUGAUGGUAGUAGAAUCCCUGUCACGGUUUCUGGCACGAUCAUUCUUUCUCCAAAACUAACUCUCACUAACGUUUUGUAUAUCUCAGAAUUUAAGUUCAACCUUCUUAGCAUUAGUGCCCUUACUUGGAAUAGCGCUAUCUCUGUUCUGUUUUCUUCGAACUCGUGCUACAUUUUUUCUGAAAAUCCUUUUAUUGGUCAGGAGCAUAUUCAGGACUUCAUGAUUGGGAAGGGUAACCUCCAAAGCAAUCUGUAUGUCCUGGACACUCCUUGUUCUUCUUCUCAGUUUGAAGCACUUUCGGUUUCACAAAACAAUCCUCACGUUUGGCAUCAAAGACUCGGACAUCCUUCUUUCAGCAAACUUCAAAUUCUUUCAAAACUUCUUCGUUUAUCACAUUGUAAAGAUAAUCAUGAUAGUCUUUGUCAAGUUUGUCCCCUAGCUAAACAAAAACGUAUGUCUUUUCCUUCAAAUCCUCAGCUUUCGAAUUCACCAUUUGAUUUGGUUCAUCUUGAUGUUUGGGGUCCUUUUCAAGUUCCAACUCAUGAAGGGUACAAAUAUUUCUUUACAAUUGUUGACGAUUGUACUAGAGUGACUUGGGUUUACUUGCUUAAAAAUAAAAGUUCUGUUUCAACUGUCUUCCCUGAGUUUUUACAUCUGAUUCAUACUCAAUAUAACUCUAAGAUCAAGGCCAUUAGAUCAGAUAAUGCACCAGAAUUAGCUUUCACAGAUCUUCUAACAGAAAAUGGGAUUGAGCACUAUUUUUCUUGCCCUUAUACUCCUCAGCAAAACUCAGUUGUCGAAAGGAAACAUCAACACAUCUUAAAUGUGGCUAGAGCUUUACUUUUUCAAUCAAAAGUUCCUUUGAUCUAUUGGGGAGAAUGCAUUCAAACAGCUAUAUACUUAAUAAAUCGAACUCCUUCUCCUUUGUUACAAAACAAAUCACCUUUUGAGCUUUUAAUACAUAAAGUUCCUUCUUAUGAUCAUUUACGUAUUUUUGGCUGCUUAUGCUACACAUCUACCCUACAAAAAGAUCGUAAUAAGUUUUCUCCUCGAGCUAAUCCAGGUGUUUUCCUUGGUUAUCCACAUGGGUACAAAGGUUAUAGGGUUCUUGAUACAACGACUAACAGAAUCAUCAUUUCUAGAAAUGUAGUUUUUCAUGAAUCAUCUUUUCCAUUUGCAAAAGACUCUACUAAUCUAGAUGCUGAGAAUUCUUUGUUUGAUCAAGAUGUGUUACCUAUGCCUGUUCCAGAUUCAUCCUUUCCUGCCUUCUUUGACUUAGGAUCUGAGGUUCCCUCUUCGGUUUUCGUUGACCAAAAUACAAUGUUUUCUUCUCCACCUACGCCUCAUGUUCCUCAUUCAUCUCCUUUACAAUCUUCUGUACCUCAUGAUUCUCCUAACUCUUUAGCACCUCUUGUCUCUCGUCCUAACUCUACUACUUGCACUUCUUCUAUUCCUAGUUCUUCCUUUGUUCCAUUAGUACCAUCGGGAGUUUCUAGGACUGAAACAAGGUCAAAAAGGCAGACUAAAGCACCUGCAUAUCUUGACAAGUAUCAUUGUUAUUUGUUAGAUCAUUCUUCUGAGAUUCCUGUGCAUUCUACCCAUACUACUUCAUAUCCUAUUUCUUCAUUCCUUUGUUAUGAUAAGUUUGAUCCCGAACACAGAAAUUUUAUCCUUUCUAUCACUACCCACAAAUUACCCAAAACCUAUGCUGAAGCUGUUCUGUCUGAUGAGUUCAAACGAGCUAUGAAAUCUGAAAUGGGUUCUCUUGAAGAUACUGGUACUUGGACAGUUUGCGACCUACCCCCAGGGAAACAUCCCGUUGGUUGUAAGUGGGUCCACACGAUCAAAUACAACCCUGAUGGCACGAUUGAGAGACACAAGUCCCGGCUUGUUGCGAAAGGCUAUACACAGUUAGAGGGACUUGAUUACUUGGACACUUUCUCCCCUGUUGCCAAAAUUGGCACUCUGCGUUUACUUCUGAGUCUUGCUGCUGCAAAAGAUUGGUCGAUAACACAGCUGGAUAUCAGUAAUGCAUUUCUCAAUGGAGAUCUAGAUGAAGAGAUAUAUAUGCGAUUGCCUGAAGGUUAUGAAGAUUUAACAGGCAAGAAAUGUCCUCCAAAUUCUGUUUGCAAGCUCCAUAAGUCUCUCUAUGGACUCAAACAGGCGUCUCGCCAAUGGAACCAGAAGUUAUCAAGUGUAAUUCUUGGAGAUGGGUUUACACGAACACACUCGGAUCAUUCCUUGUUCAUCAAGUAUGUCAACAAGGUGUUUUUGGCAGUUCUUGUGUAUGUUGAUGACAUUCUCAUUGUGGCGAAUGAUGAUUUGGCUACUACUCAGUUCAAAGAGGUUCUGCAGUCUGCUUUCAAGUUGAGAGAUCUUGGUCCAGCGAAAUAUUUUUUGGGCUUUGAGAUUGCUAGAAACAAGACUGGGAUUUCUUUGAAUCAACGCAAGUAUACUCUUGAGUUACUUGAGGAGGCUGGAUUAUUGGGUUGUAAGCCUCUUUCGGUUCCUAUGGAACCUAACCUCAAGCUAUCAACAACAACUGGUACUCGUCUUCCUGAUGCUUCUAUAUAUCGAAGACUUGUGGGCAGGUUGUUGUAUUUGACACAUACGCGACCGGAUAUCACAUAUGCAGUUCAUAAGUUGAGCCAGUACAUGUCUGCUCCUACUGAUGCUCAUCUUCAAGCUGCAUUUCGUGUUCUUCGUUAUUUGAAGAAUGAUCCAGGUCAAGGACUUUUUUACUCAACAACGUCUACACUGAAGCUUACUGCUUACUCGGAUGCAGACUGGGCAGCUUGUCCUGAUUCACGACAAUCAAUCACUGGUUACUGUGUCUUCCUUGGGGAUUCUUUGAUUUCUUGGCGAUCCAAGAAGCAACCAACUGUAUCAAGGAGCAGCUCUGAAGCAGAGUACAGAGCCAUGGCAGAUGCUACUUGUGAACUCGUGUGGUUAACUGCGAUAUUGACUGAGAUGCAUUGCUCUCCCUCUGUUCCUGCGACUCUCUUUUGUGAUAAUCAGUCUGCACUAUACAUCGCGUCGAAUCCUGUCUAUCAUGAGCGGACAAAACACGUUGAGAUCGACUGCCAUGUGGUUCGAGAGAAGCUACAGAGUGGUUUUUUGAAGACUCUACAUGUUCAUUCUGCACUACAGCUAGCUGACAUUUUAACCAAGGCGGUCCAACCUGCUCUGUUCAAGUCAUUACUCAGCAAUAUUGGUAUCCACAGCUUGUGUCUUCCAUCUUGAGGGGGGGGUAUUAGAGUAUAAGACUGGUUAUCAUGAUAGUAAGAUUGAACCGGUGGUUUACUUGUAUAGACCGAAUAGUAUGAUAGUAUAAAUACAUGUACAAUACACUGUAAAGAAUAAGGAUGAUAUACAUAUUUUUCUACUUUCUAAUCGUAACAAACUCAUCUUCUUCAUCUUGAGCUCAAGCUCUAAUAUUCCGUCCCCAACGAUCCAUCCCAAAUUCUUCAAGCGAAGGUCCCUUCCCAAAAGAAUGCUUCUCCAUCCAUGAGGCAUAGCGCUAGAGCUCGAAGCUAGGAGGAAGUUGGUAUCAGGACAGUACUUCCCAAACAGAACUCUCCCCAAAAGACCGUUCGGGUUCUGCAAGAGUCUCCAGCUGGUCUUGGCUAGAAGGGAGAUAUUAAAGUUCUGGAAGUCGCGUGGACCAAAACACAUAAAUAAAGACUGUUCGGGUUUAAAGUGUUUUAAAAAAAGGUUUUGCCCACUGAAACUAGAUAGCUAUCGUUUUGUAUAUGAGAUUAUUCUAUUUUAGUUUGCAAAAUGCGGAAUUCGUCAAAUUUAACAAUGUAUGUCAAAUAAUAAUGAUAGAUAAAUAUAUGCGUCAUCGAUCAAAAACAAAAUUUUAAACCGUUUGAUUUUCCUUUAUCAUUCAUUAUGUGAUUAAUUGAUUAACGAUUAACUAGAUACACAUUCUUGACUACGAAAGCUACACGUCGAGAGAUCGAUGAACAUAGUGCAUUUUCAGUAUUACUUUUUGAGAAAUAUAUACGAUAUUAUUAGUUCGACCUACCAAGAGAAGAGACCAAGACAACAUCAAAAAGUUGGAAUAUUCUUUCGACUUUCUACUCAGUUAAAUCCACUACUUUAUAUAUCCUGUCACAUAAUUAAAUUUUUUUUUUUUGAAAAUUGUCUCACAUAAUUAAAUUGCACACCAAAAAAUUAUAUAUAUACUCACUCACGGAAAAAAAAAGAACUGUCCGUAUAGGGAUGUAUAACAUCGUAGAUAAAACACAAUCUUAUUUUUAUAUAAAUCAUAUCACGCCAUCAAUAGUUAAACACACAUUACAAAAAUCAUCAAAUGAAAAUUAAACACGAUUUAAAAAUACUUGGAGAGGCAAAUAAAAUGUGCCACUCCUCAACGAAGAAUCAAGAAAAUGAUUCUCCUCACACUUAUAUACAUUUCCCUCUAAAAUCACGUAAGAGUUUAGAAUAUAGCCUAACUGAUCAAUUAUUGAUCCGAUUAUGCAAAUCACGGUGAACCACACUUGUUAACAAGAGCACCUUGCAACGCCGUGGGAGGAUCGGACAUGAGACACCAAACCGGAGGAAUCGAAAGCUCUUCCACAAUUCCAUAAGCAUUCCAACAAAAUGGAUCCACAACGAUUUCGCCUUUUUCUGGAAGCAACUCGAUACCCGAAAGAGUUAGAUUCGUGCAUGGAACUGCAUCGCUGCAUCCAAAAUGCAUUGGAGGACUUCGAAUAUCAUAAGUUCCUUUGAUGCCUUGGUAUGUAAUAUCAGAUACGAAAACGGCAGAUGUUUUAUUGGCACAGUCUUUGGUCAUGCAAUAGUAUUGGUCAAUGAUUAUUGGGUUACGGACUGACUCCACGUGGAUGUUGUUGAACGUCACGCCUGAGACCGAACCGAAUCCACCUUGCCAUGUUUUGAUCCGAACUCCAUUGUUGGAGUACUUUAUGACCGAGUCUCUGACGGUUAUGUUUGAGACGCAUGCAUGUGAGUUGUGAUUGCCCAAACUUCCAAUACUAAAAAUUUAGUAUAUAAUGACGUUUUAGUAAAUAGUUAUUGGUUGGGAUCUAUUUGCCAUAACAAGUGUUUUUAAUCAGAUUAAUCAAAUUAAAGAGAGAUAACAAACCUAAUUCCAUGGCCACCGGGUCCACAGGUAAGAUUCCGUAUAUCAACAUCGUAGGAUCCCGAACCAAUAGAUACGCAAUCAUCUCCUGCAAAUUGGAAGCAUGACUUUAAUUGUUCAGACAAGAAUCAUUUCGCUUUACUUUUGUUGAAAUCUAUUUAUUCUUCUUAACUUAUUUUGUUGUAUUAUGUAAAUUUAUAUUUAGUUUGAAAGGAUUUGUCCAAAUAUUAUAUAUGUUUUUUUUCUUUUUUGAUAAAGUUUGAUCUAAGGGCGCAUAAACAUAUUGCACAGCCAAUUUGAUCCGUUAAUCAACCAUAUAUUUUAUUGGCCGAUGUCAAAUACAAUAAAUUUUAUUUAUUCGAUCGCUACCGCAUUUUCGAACCUUUUUGGUUUGCUUGUUUUUUUAGUAUUUUUAAAGUUUCAUUUAUAAACCGGUUAUCGGUUUGUUUUUCUAACUAAAGUUUUCUUUUUGACAAAGUUACAUUUAUAAAGUGUAAUAAAUUGUCUAAAACUGCCAAGCGUAAAUCACUCUAUAUAUAACAUGUAAGUCUUUUUACCGUUGGAGAUGACCGAGUUGUAGAUGGUAACGGAGUUAGAGUUUUCGAUGUGGAUGCCGUCAGUGUUGGGACUUAACGGCGGAGCAGUGAUGUGAAGGGACUCGACGUGAACUCCUUGACAACCGUCGAAUCUGAAAUGAAACUGCGGGCUGUUUUUUAUUUGUAGACCUUCCACCGUUAGAUUCGAACUCAUAAAGAACCUCAAAGCCUGCAUGCAUUUAAUUCAUUAGUUACCAGAGCAAUUUAAAAAAUCGGGUCGUAAAUUAGUACGUAAAUUUUUAUGUUGAACUUACAAUGGGGCUGUCGCAAGGGCCAGCAACAAUUGCAGAUUUGUUGACAGUCUGUAGAAAAAUAACAAAAUAAUUAGUUAUAAAUAUUGUAUAUAUGCCAUUUCACUUAUAGAGUCAGCUUUCCAUGAUUGUAGAGUUUUACAUUCAUUUAUAAAUAAAAUUAAAAUAAACUGUAAAUUGGUGUAAAUGCUUGGAAAAAUUUCCUAAAACAGUAUGAAUGAAUAGUACAAUAUUUAAGACCACAUGGUUUUAAGAUGUCCUAAUUAUUUUAGUCAAUUACCCGGUGAGGUUUGCAGGGAAGAUCCCACCAUUUCUGUCCCCGGCCAUCUAUAACUCCGGCGCCUUUCAAAGCCAUUCCGUUGACUCUAUAGAAAACAAGCCAUUGUCUUUUACUUAUAUUGCUCGGCCACGAUUCAGGUCCAUCUGGUGUUACAAUGGUCCCGUCCACCUAUAUCAAUAAAAAAUGUUAUUAAAACCAAUCCCAUUUGAUAUAAUUGUCUAUAGUAUAUCAAAACGUUUAGAUUUUUUAGGAAGAGAAAUAAUACUUGGAAUAAUUGGUAAGAAUGGCAAGGACCGGUAAAAAUAGUAGACUGGAUCAUAAAUGUGUAGCCGUAAGGAACAAGCAAAACAGAAACGGUGUCGUUCCCGUUGCUACAUGAUGAGUCCCACGCCGUUUUGAAUGCUUCCGUGUCGUCUGCGACACCAUCUCCGACCGCACCGAACUUUCUCACGUCGUAGACUCCAUUGUCGUCUUCUUCAGGGUCGUCGGAAGGUGACGGUGGUAGUGACGGUGACGGCGAGUCAUCAGGGCCCGGAGGAGGAGUAGGAGGCUGAGAGAUUGAGGAAGAAGGUGGUUCUGGUUUUGAAGAGUGAUGGUUAUGGCUAUUGUGUUUGUGUUUCUCUUUGUGGUGAUGGUAUCGGGAUUCAGUUAAAGAGGUUAGUGUGAUAAUUAGUGCGAUGAAACAAAGGAUUUGGUUGCGAGUAUAAGAAGAAAUUAACAUUUUCAUUGGAUUGAAAAUGUUUUUAUUUUUGGUGAUUUUGAGGUGAAUGUUGGACAAAAAGUGUGUAAGAAGAGAGUCGCACUCACUAAGUUUAGAAUGCUUCUUGGAAAUGUUAAUGCAUCAAAAGCAGACAAGCCUGGUUCCUUUAUAUAUACUGCAACGUCGUGGGCUAUAGGAAGUGGAAACCUAAUGUUAUUUUAAUUUAAACAAGUGUAGUGUUUUGAUCAAAAAAAAAAACAAGUGUAGUGUAGGUAAAGUUUACCGCGGCUUUUUGUUUGGUUUCCAUUUCUUUUUUUUUUAACUAAUAUUCUUUUUGGUUGCUGGUGUUUAUCUCUAGUAUGAGACUGAUCGUUUGGUGUAAUUUUGAAUUGAGUUUAAUCCUUGGGAAAAUUUAUGGCCACGUAUUCGGGAACGAAUAUUAUUAUGGAUGCGGCAUGCAUGGGAGUAUCUACAUUAAUACUAGUUUCUAAAAUCAAAAUUACAUAAUACAUAUCCUCAUAAUAUGAAAAUGAUUGACUACAUCAGAUAUUAGAAAUCAAUUAAAUCUUAAUAUUUGUAUAUUUUAACAUUUAGACCAAAAAAAAAAUUAAUCUUAAUAAUUUUUAAAUAAUAUAUUCUUACGUAUACUUAUGGUACAGUUUAAGGCAAUAGCUGUAACAUGUUUUUCCAAUAAGGAAUACCGAAUAAUAAGGAUGAUUAUUUGUGAAAUAGAAAAAUGGAAUGAUGGAUUAAAUGUAAAAAUGAUAUUAGUAAAUUAUAUACAUUCUAUUUAUUCACGAGGAUUUAAAAUCCUGAGUAAGAAAAUAGGUUUUACAAAAUAUUUUUUUUCUGUUUUAUUUCCAAAAUGGAACGUGUAGAAUUGUUUUUAAAAAUAUUUUAUUGUAAUUGGUAAAUAUUUUAUGAAAUUUUAUGGAAUGUAUUUUAAAUAAUUUUAUUCCACAAAAUAACAUUUUAGUUGCAGCCAAGGUGAAUGUGGGCAUGUAAGCUUGCGGUUCUGAAUCAAACCAGCUGUCAAAUUGGACUGAAUCCAAUUUUUGGUUUUAAUAUAUAGAUUUGAUUAUAAUUUUUGGAGUGUCUUAUUAUGCAAAAUUUGAAAUUUCUCAAAAGAAAAAAAACUGGAUGAAAAGCUCCCAAUAAUAAAGUUCUUAUGCACACCUAAAGUUUGUCUUAAAAUGCCAUCUCUUAAAUGGUUUUUUCUUCACCCUAGGAGGUCUUACAAUAUCUCUCAUCCUCUUUAUUUUAGUUUAUACCCACUUUGAAAAACUUUUCUGGAGGAUAUGUAUAUAAAUUAUAGUUUGGGACAGUUUAUUCAAUACACGACGAAACAUAUAACAUGUAAAAAGAAUUAUUCUCCACUGAAGAUAAUUGAGAAAAGGUUAAAUACAUUUGUUAUGAUAAAAUAUAGUUAUAUACAUAGUUUCAGUUUUUUAUUAAAGAGAAAACAAGAAGAGAAUGGCCGCGAGUGGGUUAUAUCUAACCUCUUUCGGCUUCUUCAGUGGCCCAAUUCUUUUUCAUGUAUUUAAUAUUAUAGAAAAGGUGAGGUACAAAUGAUUCUUUUUAAUAUGUGAAUAAUUUACUGAAUUACCAAGAAUAUAAAUAUAUAUUUGUAUGACCGACCAACCAUCAUUGAUUGCAUACUCAGAAACACAAUUGUUUGAUCAUAUUUGAGAAUUUCACCGCCCCUCUUUACACUUUUCGGUGGAACUCAAUUAUGUUUGGUCUCAUCUCAUCUUCUUCCACUUUUCUUAGGAACAAAAUUCUAAUAUUUAUGCUUUUUAGCACAUAAUUAUAGUAACACUGAAUGCAAUGGAUUAUAGUAACACUAAUAUUUAUGCAUUUUUAAUCCAUUGCAUUCAGUGUUAAUAACUAUGUGCUCUAGUUUAUAUAUUUUAUAAAUAUUUUAUGUGCUAUAACUUCUUAUAAAACAAAUUUUAUAAAAAAAAUUAUUUUUUUAUAAAUUAUAAGUUUGUUUUUUUAAAAAUUAUAAUUAUACAUGCAUCUUGUGACCUCAUCCUCCACGCAAAAAUGGCGGCUAUAAUACGACAUACUAAAGCUAAUGAACUUGCAAAAACAAUUGUGUAGGUUAAGGACGGGUACUUUAUAAACAUAAGGUUAAGCAUCAUAAUUAAAUUGUGUGAAUGUGUGUAUGUUAUAUAAUAAUCAAACUGCAUGUGUGUAUACACUGUAUAAUAUAUAAUAAUUUAAUUGUGUGUGUAUAUAUAUAUCUCGAAUAUAAAUAACAAAAAAAUAGGUAGUGUAUACAAAAAGAGAAGUUAGAAGACAGAACAAUUUUCCAAUUAUCAGUCAUAUAUAUUUUUGUAUUUUAAUUUUUUUUUUUUUUUUAAAUAAUAAAAUUAAAAUACAAAAAUAUAUGUUAUCUGUAUAUGUAAUUUAAAGUUUCUCUAAUAUUAAAUAAGAAAAUGUAAGAUUAUGUUUAGUUAAUUUACUUAUAGUUAUAUAUAAUUAUGAGUAUUUUUAUAAUAACAAUAAAUCAAACAUGAUAGGCUAAUACCUUUUAUUUUUACUUAGACUAGAGGUGAUCCAAAAUUUUAUAAAAUACAUUUACUUUCAACAAAAUAUUAUAUAUUUUAAAAUUUCUAACCCUGUUAAUAUUGAAAUUGAUUUUUAGCAAAAUAAGCAUAUACAUAUGUUAAUAUAUAUUUUCUGAAUAUUGCAUUUUCUUUUCUUUUCUUUUUGUCACAUUUGUGAAAUAGCAUGCUGAAAAUGGAAGAUAAAGGAUGGAGACUGAUAUGAACAAGUUGGUCAAUAUAAGGCAAGAGGCUGUUAGGUGCUUAAAAAUACCUAUAGGCAAUGAGACAUUAACAUGUCCACGUCUACUUUAAGAGUAUGAAAGAUGUUGCCUGCUUCUUCAUUACAAAGAUACACAAAUAUGUAUAUGUAUAACAUUGUGCGUGUGUAAAAUAGAAUAAUAUAAAGAUACAAUAUAUACACAUGUGUGUAUAUAGUGUGAUUGUGAAUAGGAGACUGGCUCUUCAAACUUCUGCCCUCAAUCUAGAGGAUUUGGUAGAUGUACACUUUGCUUCAUUUCCAGUGCACGUCUCCAUAGUCCAUACUUUGCUCCAUCUUUUAAUAUUUAUCCACUAAUUUUCAUCUUUAUAGCUAGCAAUAUGUUUCUAGAAAGAGAACUAAUAAUACAUUAAUACACGUAGGUUUUUUGUUAAAAAAUGCAAUGAGUCUUGCAUCCAACAAAAGAUACACAAAGAACUACCAACUUAGUUAAACAAAUAAUUUGUCAAAAAAAAACUUAGUUAAACGAAUAAUAUAUCCAUAUGAAACAUUCCAACGGUAUAAACGAACGGGAAAAUAUGUAUACACAAGAGUAGAGAUGUCGGCUAAAUUCGAAAUGAUUAAAGGUCGGGCUGGGUUGCGGGUCAAACCCGCCCCGCUGACCCGCCAACCCCCGGGUUACAAAUUUUUUUAUUUUGUCAAAAAAUCAGAUCCGCACAACCCGCGAACAAAUAAAUUUGUACCCGCACUCGCCCCGCUUAAUUUUGCGGGUAACCCACGGAACCCGCAGAUUAUAUUUUUAUUUUAAAAAAAUAUUUAUUUAAUUUAAUUUUUGUAAAAUAUAAUAUAAAUAAUAUAUUUAUAAUUAAAAUUUUAAAUAUUUUAAAAUAUUUUUUUAUUAUUUUUUAAAAUUCCCAUAUUUUCUUUAAAAAUAUGUAUUUUUACAAAAAAAAAAUACAUUUUUACAAAAAAAUAUAUAUAUUUUAAAAAAAAAAUUUUAAAAUGCGGGUUGACGGGUACUUGCGUUUCAAAAUCUACCUAUCCGCACCCGCCCCGCAUAAAAUGCUCAUAACCCGCACCCGCACCCGCGAAUAGAUUUUUCUAAAUUGUUCGACCUGCAUCCGCUCCACGGCGGGUCAAACGGGCCGGACCUUGCGGGUAAAAACUCAUAUUCCCAAGCCUAAUUAAAGGAGACUUGUCCGCAUGAGUUUACCCCACCCAAGUACUGUUUCUUCCACUUCUCAGAUGCUCCGAGAGUUGAGACUCUUCUUCUUCUAUCAAGAACUAUUCAGUUUUUUUUUGUUGUUGUUGUUUAGGACGGUCUUUAGCAAAAAGAUAACAAAGGUGUGGUUAAAUUUGAGCGGCAUUCUAUUGGGAAUGAUAUGGGAACAUGAUAAAAAAUUGAUAACAAUGCAUACACAUGGCUAUCUUAUUUACCGCAACUAACACUAAAAAAAAAAACUAAGAAACAUAUUACUUGUUCAGUUCAAAAAAAAAACAUAUUACUUGUUCUAAAAAGAAAAACAUAUUACUUGAGAACAAACUGUGUUUUAAAAAAGACUUAUUACAUCUAUUGAACAUCACCAUUAUUAUUUUCUAAAAUUACGAAACCAAAUCCCCUAUAUAUUAUUUGUGAAACAUUACAACUUCUUUUUGUAGACACGUGUCAUCACUAGGAUGAUUCUUAGAAUUAUUAGAGAAAUAUGUUAGUCCAUCUAAUUAUAUAAUAAGUUUUUUUAUUAAACUAACCAUAAAUUUAUUAUUAAUGUCAUUUAUUAUUUCCUUAAAUAAAGAUUACGGAAUUGCCUAAUGUGGCUAAAGUAUAUAUGACAAUUAAUGAUUUUGAAUAAUAAAGAUCUGAUAAAAAAAAUGUAUCUUCUAUCAAAUUUGUUUAAUUUUAAACUAUUUAAAUAAUUUAAAAAGUUCACAAUAACCAUAUUAUAAAAAUAUAUAUUUUUCUGUAUAUGUCAUAUUUUAAAUUUUAAAAAAACGACUAUAAAUUACUAAAAAUGUUAAAAGUCUCACAUUCAAAUUUUGCGACCCAUGGUUUAAAAUUUUUGUUAUGACAAAAUACAAAUGAUUACAAAAUCAUAUAAAUAAAAGUAUAAUUUAAUUAAUCAUUAAGAUUUAAAUAUAUAUAUAUAUGUAUAUAUAUCAUUCUAAAUUAAACUAUAAACCAUAUUGAAUAAAUAAACAUUUUAACUUAAAAAUUUACUUUGAAUAAAACUGUUUUGAUAAAAUUUUUGAACUAACAUUGAUUAAUUUUUUUAAAUUAUAAAUUACUAAAAUUAUUAACCGUACAAUGAAAAUUUUGUUAUCAAUAAUUUAAUGUUUUUGCUGUUAAAGAUACACAUGAUCAAAAAAACAAAUGAGUAGAAAUCAUCAUUUAAUAGACAUUAAUAUUAAAAAUAUAUUAUGUAUGUUAAUAUCAUUUAAAUUUAAUUACAUAUCCUAUCAAAUUUUUUUUUUUAAAAUUGUUUGGAUUCAUAAAAUUGAUUUAUACGUUCGCACCAAUUUAAUUAUAUAUGUAAUAGUUGCUCACUUUUAAUUAUUCAAUAUAUAUUUAUUAUUUCAUAAUAUGUAAGAACAUAUAAUACAUAAAAUAAUUUAUAUAUAUAAUGUUUAUCCCGCGUAAGGCGCAAAUCUUAAUCUAGUAGUUAAUUAUAAUGCAGCGAAUAAUUGCUUUAAAUAAUAAAUAGCUUUGUCACACAGCAAGCGUAUAAUCUUGAAAGAAACAUGUCUUAAUUACUUUAGAAUAUUUACUUUUCAUCAGUAAAUUAACAAGUAACAACAUUCCAUGUUUGGACAUCUUACGAAACAAGAAAAAAUAACUGCAUGAAGAAUAAUUUAUUUGGACGAAGGCAAAUGAAGUAUUCUUCAUUUCUGCCUUAAGAGGUCUUCACGAAGGCAGCAAAACGUUCCAAUCCUCCACGAAUAAGCUUCUCCAUAAACGGUUUCAUUAACUGUAAUUUUUGAAACAUAAAAAAAAAAGAUAAUGAGACAAAAUGUUAACAAGAAAUACACACGUAAAUUAUUUACGAAAAAACUAUAAUCAUCCACUAUAUGGAGAAAUAGCCUUACAAAUGCAACUGGAGCUAAAGCAUGUGGAACUUCGAAUGAAAAAUUAAUCUGACAGAAAAGUAAUGAAUAAAUGAAACUAAAAUUGAUCACAUAUGUAUUGAAAGUGAGAAAAAUGGUGACGAGAUACUACUAACCUCUACUAAGCACAAGGAAGGGCCUCUAGGGAAAAAUCGAACACUGCCUCUGUUUUAUAAAUACAGAACAUACAUUUUUUCAAAAUCAAUAAGAAAAAUUGAAAAGAUGGUUAUUUUUGUAUAAACCAAAUUUGAGUUCACCUAUUUGCAAAGCCUUCUAUAGAUCUCCAGUGCAGCUUUCUGUCUGGAAUUGGCUGUAGAGAGAGAUUGCAAGAAUAAAUAAUAUUUAGUUCGAAUUUCUAAUGAACAAAAAUAAUAUAAUCGGAUUGGUGGAUAUUAAUUUAAUACCUGCAAAUUUUUGGCGAGAAAAUGAUAUUCAACAUUUUGUCCAAAAGAAUUGAAUUUUACCAAAUACCGGGAUAAAUCAGGACUACCCUCCACUGCCUAAGAGACGCAAAUAAAAUAUUUAAGUCAGGUGAGCAAGAAUUAAAGCUUAUAGACUCCGUUUCAGAGUAAGGUUUACCUCAACUGAUGACAAAAAUGGCAUCCACUUAGGGAAUAAGUCACGAUCUGCGUAUAACUUGUAAGCCACGGAAGCUGGUGCGUCCACUACCAUCUUUACCCUGUUUCAUCCAGACCAAAUAAUUUUUACAACCGAAUCUCUCUAGACACUAAGUAUCAAGUUUUUGCUCCCUUAAUAAACUUACGCGACGUCUUGCCAGUGUACUUGGCGGAGUCUUUCUUCUUCAAGUCGAUCAGCUUCUCAUCCUCCACGCAAAAAUGGCGGCUAUAAUACGACAUACUAAAGCUAAUGAACUUGCAAAAACAAUUGUGUAGGUUAAGGACGGGUACUUUAUAAACAUAAGGUUAAGCAUCAUAAUUAAAUUGUGUGAAUGUGUGUAUGUUAUAUAAUAAUCAAACUGCAUGUGUGUAUACACUGUAUAAUAUAUAAUAAUUUAAUUGUGUGUGUAUAUAUAUAUCUCGAAUAUAAAUAACAAAAAAAUAGGUAGUGUAUACAAAAAGAGAAGUUAGAAGACAGAACAAUUUUCCAAUUAUCAGUCAUAUAUAUUUUUGUAUUUUAAUUUUUUUUUUUUUUUUAAAUAAUAAAAUUAAAAUACAAAAAUAUAUGUUAUCUGUAUAUGUAAUUUAAAGUUUCUCUAAUAUUAAAUAAGAAAAUGUAAGAUUAUGUUUAGUUAAUUUACUUAUAGUUAUAUAUAAUUAUGAGUAUUUUUAUAAUAACAAUAAAUCAAACAUGAUAGGCUAAUACCUUUUAUUUUUACUUAGACUAGAGGUGAUCCAAAAUUUUAUAAAAUACAUUUACUUUCAACAAAAUAUUAUAUAUUUUAAAAUUUCUAACCCUGUUAAUAUUGAAAUUGAUUUUUAGCAAAAUAAGCAUAUACAUAUGUUAAUAUAUAUUUUCUGAAUAUUGCAUUUUCUUUUCUUUUCUUUUUGUCACAUUUGUGAAAUAGCAUGCUGAAAAUGGAAGAUAAAGGAUGGAGACUGAUAUGAACAAGUUGGUCAAUAUAAGGCAAGAGGCUGUUAGGUGCUUAAAAAUACCUAUAGGCAAUGAGACAUUAACAUGUCCACGUCUACUUUAAGAGUAUGAAAGAUGUUGCCUGCUUCUUCAUUACAAAGAUACACAAAUAUGUAUAUGUAUAACAUUGUGCGUGUGUAAAAUAGAAUAAUAUAAAGAUACAAUAUAUACACAUGUGUGUAUAUAGUGUGAUUGUGAAUAGGAGACUGGCUCUUCAAACUUCUGCCCUCAAUCUAGAGGAUUUGGUAGAUGUACACUUUGCUUCAUUUCCAGUGCACGUCUCCAUAGUCCAUACUUUGCUCCAUCUUCUAAUAUUUAUCCACUAAUUUUCAUCUUUAUAGCUAGCAAUAUGUUUCUAGAAAGAGAGCUAAUAAUACAUUAAUACACGUAGGUACACAAAGAACUACCAACUUAGUUAAACAAACAAUUUGUCAAAAAAAAAACUUAGUUAAACGAAUAAUAUAUCCAUAUGAUACAUUCCAACGGUAUAAACGAUCGCGAACGGGAAAAUAUGUAUACACAAGAGUAGAGAUGUCGGCUAAAUUGGAAAUGAUUAUAGGUAGGGCUGGGUUGCGGGUCAAACCCGCCCUGCUGAUCCGCCAACCCGCGGGUUAUAAAGUUUUUUCUUUUGUCAAAAAAUCCGAUCCGCACAAUCCGCGAACAAAUAAAUUUGUACCCGCACUCGCCCCGCUUAAUUUUGCGGGUAACCCACGGGACCUGCGAAUUAUAUUUUUAUUUAUAGAUUUGAUUAUAAUUUUUGGAGUGUCUUAUUAUGCAAAAUUUGAAAUUUCUCAAAAAGAAAAAAAACUGGAUGAAAAGCUCCCAAUAAUAAAGUUCUUAUGCACACCUAAAGUUUGUCUUAAAAUGCCAUCUCUUAAAUGGUUUUUUCUUCACCCUAGGAGGUCUUACAAUAUCUCUCAUCCUCUUUAUUUUAGUUUAUACCCACUUUGAAAAACUUUUCUGGAGGAUAUGUAUAUAAAUUAUAGUUUGGGACAGUUUAUUCAAUACACGACGAAACAUAUAACAUGUAAAAAGAAUUAUUCUCCACUGAAGAUAAUUGAGAAAAGGUUAAAUACAUUUGUUAUGAUAAAAUAUAGUUAUAUACAUAGUUUCAGUUUUUUAUUAAAGAGAAAACAAGAAGAGAAUGGCCGCGAGUGGGUUAUAUCUAACCUCUUUCGGCUUCUUCAGUGGCCCAAUUCUUUUUCAUGUAUUUAAUAUUAUAGAAAAGGUGAGGUACAAAUGAUUCUUUUUAAUAUGUGAAUAAUUUACUGAAUUACCAAGAAUAUACACAAUGGUGUAGUUUUCAAAUUAAAAAUUUACUGUAGUAUAUUUCUCCAAAUUUUCCCAUUUAGUUUUUAUCAUAAACCAAAAAACCAGCAUUCAAAAUUAUUGAAUUUAGGUAUAUUUAUAUUAAGUUUGAAAUUUUAUUUUAAGAUAGAAUAAUUUGCUGACUGAACGUUUAUAAUCCAAACUUAUCGCUAAAUAUUGUUUCAUAUUUUAUACACAAAAUUAUUUUAUGAGAAAAAUAGAAUAUCUAAUAAAUGGACAGUAAAAUUGUUCAUAAUGAAUAAUAAAAUACAAUAAAUUAUCAAUAUAUACAUAUAUAUUAAGUAGGUUUUAUCCUUUUUAUUAGAUCAUCAAAACAAGUAAUGUACCAAAAAUUGAAUCAUAAGCACAUUUCUUAAAAACAACCAAGAUUUUAGUUAAUUAUCUAUAUAUCAUUAAACAUUGAGUUGGUGAUAGUGAUACUACUAAGCUACUGCGAAGCAUUUUCGUAUUUCAAAUAAUGUGAAAAUAACCUUUUUUAAGUGUGAGAAAUAUUUAGAAUAGAGAUUUUGGUCUAAGAGAAUGUCAUACAAUUUUGGAUAUUAGGUACAAAAACAACAUUAAUAAAUUUAUUUUCGUGUUUAAAUAAUUGGUAUGCAGUAGUGACACCUUUAAAAAAAAUAUUUUUUUGAAUGCCUAAAUAUAUUUUUUAAAGUUAUUCUAGAAAUUAAUAUUGUUUUGCUUAAAUCCAAAUUUUGGAAUACUAUUUUUCAAAAAUUUAACUUGCUUGAAAGACAUCCAAUACAUAUUAUGAUAUUUCAACUCUUUGCGGUUGCACAUACUUCAGAAUAAUAUUUUUAUAUUUUCAAAUGUUUGAAAAUAAUUUAAAACAUAAAUUUAAAAGACAUAAUCCGCGCGUAGCGCGGAAAAAAGAUCUAGUUGCUUUAAAUAAUAAAUAGCUUUGUCACACAGCAAGCGUAUAAUCUUGAAAGAAACAUGUCUUAAUUACUUUAGAAUAUUUACUUUUCAUCAGUAAAUUAACAAGUAACAACAUUCCAUGUUUGGACAUCUUACGAAACAAGAAAAUAACUGCAUGAAGAAUAAUUUAUUUGGACGAAGGCAAAUGAAGUAUUCUUCAUUUCUGCCUUAAGAGGUCUUCACGAAGGCAGCAAAAUGUUCCAAUCCUCCACGAAUAAGCUUCUCCAUAAACGGUUUCAUUAACUGUAAUUUUUGAAACAUAAAAAAAAAGAUAAUGAGGCAAUAUGUUAACAAGAAAUACACACGUAAAUUAUUUACGAAAUAAUUUAUAAUCAUCCACUAUAUGGAGAAAUAGCCUUACAAAUGCAACUGGAGCUAAAGCAUGUGGAACUUCGAAUGAAAAAUUAAUCUGACAGAAAAGUAAUGAAUAAAUGAAACUAAAAUUGAUCACAUAUGUAUUGAAAGUGAGAAAAAUGGUGACGAGAUACUACUAACCUCUACUAAGCACAAGGAAGGGCCUCUAGGGAAAAAUCGAACACUGCCUCUGUUUUAUAAAUACAGAACAUACAUUUUUUUCAAAAUCAAUAAGAAAAAUUGAAAAGAUGGUUAUUUUUGUAUAAACCAAAUUUGAGUUCACCUAUUUGCAAAGCCUUCUAUAGAUCUCCAGUGCAGCUUUCUGUCUGGAAUUGGCUGUAGAGAGAGAUUGCAAGAAUAAAUAAUAUUUAGUUCGAAUUUCUAAUGAACAAAAAUAAUAUAAUCGGAUUGGUGGAUAUUAAUUUAAUACCUGCAAAUUUUUGGCGAGAAAAUGAUAUUCAACAUUUUGUCCAAAAGAAUUGAAUUUUACCAAAUACCGGGAUAAAUCAGGACUACCCUCCACUGCCUAAGAGACGCAAAUAAAAUAUUUAAGUCAGGUGAGCAAGAAUUAAAGCUUAUAGACUCCGUUUCAGAGUAAGGUUUACCUCAACUGAUGACAAAAAUGGCAUCCACUUAGGGAAUAAGUCACGAUCUGCGUAUAACUUGUAAGCCACGGAAGCUGGUGCGUCCACUACCAUCUUUACCCUGUUUCAUCCAGACCAAAUAAUUUUUACAACCGAAUCUCUCUAGACACUAAGUAUCAAGUUUUUGCUCCCUUAAUAAACUUACGCGACGUCUUGCCAGUGUACUUGGCGGAGUCUUUCUUCUUCAAGUCGAUCAGCUUCUCUGCUGCGCAUAACGGGUCUUAAGGGUUCAGGAGGUGAGGAGGAAGAUGAUGAAGAAACUGAGGAACUAUUGUUAGAGUUUAUGAGUUUUGCAUAAAUAGGUGAUAAGGAAGUUGGCAUGAACCGAGAAGAAGAAGAUCGAUGAAGCAAAGAUGAAGAACUUGCAGACUUUCUGAAACAUGCAACGGAUUUGGUGGUUGGAACUGUACCAGAAGCUAUUGAUGACAUCUUUGUUGAUCUUAAGAGAGAAAGAGAUUUGGAACCUUAAUCAAAUGGGUACUCAUACAUUUUAUGAAGAGACUUUUCAAGACCAAUCUCGCUGUCUCUUAGUUUAAAUGUUAUUACACUCCACGCAAAGUGUGUUGGCGUGUUUAGACAAAUAAGCUAAAAUUAAAAAGAAAAGAAAAACUCUGUUUGUGUGACUAAGUUUCUUGUUUUGUUUGUUUUCUUGGAUAUUCUGUUAUGAGAGAAGAAAGAUUGUUAAUUAGUAUAAAAUUUUUUUAAUAAUAUUUUAAAAUAUAAAGCUGACCUUCUUAAGUGGUUUUAGCCAAGGUUGCAAAUCUUUCAAGUCCACCUCUAAGCAAGCUUUCAAAAUAAGGCCGGAGCCCCUGACAUUGAGGCAAAAAGAUGAAUAAGAAAAACAGUCUGCUCACAUAGAGAUUUGAAGGUGAAAACAGUCGGUUACUCACAGAUGCAACAGGGGUUAAAAGCGCAGAGACUUCAUAUGAUACGGUCAGCUAAGAAGAUGACCAACAUGCAAAAAAAAAAAAAAAAAACAAAGGAUACGCAUGAGAUAACUAUUCAAGAAGUAGAUAUCUAGAGAUGUUGUAAAAGCCGAAAUGGAGUGUGGUUUACUUGUACAAUGCAAGAUGAAGGACCUUUAGGGAAGAACCUAACGCUGCCUCUGCAUUGGUUAAAUUCAAAAUGUUAGUCUCAGAGUCUCAUGUAUAAAGAGAGAAGAGAAGAAACUUGAUAUUACUUAUUAGGAAGACCUUCAACAGAUCUCCAAUGGAUUUUCUGAUUAGGAACAGGCUGCAACAACAAAAAAACAAAAACAAUUACUUACAAGAAACCCAAAAGCAUCAUCAAUAUAAACUGAGUGAUGGAUUUAUUAUUUAUUGAUUUGCCUGAAGAUUGCGAGCAAGCCAAGAAUACUUGAUGUCUUGGCCAAAAGCAGAGUAGUUAAGUGACCAACGUGAUAUAUCAGGCUUGUCCUUUAACACCUAACCACAAAGUAAAAUCUCUAAAGCAUUAAAGCUCUGAAAGUUGAAACUGCGAGUUGAUGGGACAUAAAAAGUACCUCUACAGAUGAAAUGAAAGGCAUCAAUUUAGGGAAAGGUUCAGGAUCCAAGUACAAAUAGAAGUUAUACGCUACUGACGCUGGAACAUCUACUUUCAUCUUCACUCUAAAUCUCCAAAGCAAACAAAGCACUAUUGUGAGUUUUAUGGAGAUGAUCCGUUAAAGGAUCGAAAUGAUCAGGAGGAACGUGGAACUGAAGCAGAGAAAAGAGAGAGAGAGAGAGAGAGAGAGAGAGAGUUACAUGCAGUCUUGCCACUCCAUGGAAACAGAGGUACGUUUGCGAGUAUUGAAUCUUGACGAGCCAUUUAGGGUUUUGGGAUGCAACUGAGGAUACGGAUAGAGUUUACGAGGAGAAGAGAAAGCUAAUCUGCGAUUGAAGCAAAUAGGUAACUGGAGUUUGGGAAUUUUACAAGUUUUUGACACAUGAUUGAUCGUGUUCAUGUGAGUUACUGUUACAGACAUUGAAACGUUUCUCUGUUUUGCCUUUUUUUUCUAUGUUUCUAAAGUACUGGAAAAAGUAACACCUUCACAACCACACAAACAAAAUGACCUUGACCUUAGAUUUACUCUGUUUUGCAUUGACUCGUGUUAAAAAUUGAAACGCAUUGUUAGAUUGAACAUAGUUUUACAUGCCUCUUGAAACCUAAAGUGAGGAUAGCUCAGUUGGGAGAACUUCAAACUGAAGAUUUGAAGGUUGCAUGUUCGGUACACGCUCACUGCAUUUCUUUUUUUUAAAAAAUACAAAGUGUAAAAUAAUUGAUAUCUUUUGAAUAAAUUACUUUUCGGUUUCGCCGAUGCUUGAACACAUUACACUGAUGAAUAGAAUAUGGUUGCCGGAUUGAAACAUAACAUACUUAUUAGCUCAAAAGACUUCCAUUUUCACUAUGUAUCAUGAUCAUUGAAGAACAUUUAUUGUACAUUUCAAAAAGAUUUGAUAUGUUCAUCACAAUCUAUUAUGAAUUCAGAGAUGAGAGAAUCUUAGUACUCUAUCACGUCUGAUUCUAACUUUGAUAAGAUUUGAUAUGUUCAUCACAACGAAUAUCAGAAGAAGCCAAUUGCAUAUACCCAACCUUAUGAUAUUCGUAUUUAUCUAGCAUUUUCUUCAUAGUUGUAAGAUUAUUAGUGUGCUUAUAAAUGCUAAUGCAAAUAUUUUUUUGUUAUUUAUUUUUGGGCUCAUUUGUUGUGGAAGAUAGAGUUGAAAUUCACCUACGAGUCAAAUGACUAUAUCAAGUGGAUAAUCACGUAGUGUUUUCUAUUUGUUCAUAUGAAAUGUUUUCUACAGAAGAACAAAGUGUUCUUACACUUUCAGCAUUACAACUACACCUCGUAGUAGUUUUCUUCAUCUUAUCUUCAUGUACGUCACAUGUAUGUUGGGAGAAAAGUUAUUCAAACUUAGUAGUGUAUAGUAAUCAUGUAGUUGGUCUUAAUCAAACUUAGUAUAAUAUUUAAAUCAAUUUGAUUCCAUGCAACAAAAAUACAAGGAUUUGUAUACAUAUUUAAAUCAACAAAGAAUGACAUUAUUGCUUGUAUAUCUUCUUGUAUAUCUUUCUAAAACACAUAAUUUAAAAGCUAAAAUAUUUUAUGAUUUUAUAACUGAAAUGCAUUAUACCUCAUGUUCGCAUGCAACUGCAUAACUGAACCACAUAUUCUCAUCUCUGCAAAGUAGUAAGAGAAACUCGACACUGCAACACUUGAUACAAGAAUCCAACCCACAGCAAAAACCCUCCCAACAAGCGUCUCAAGCGCUUUGCCUCCAUAUCCAAUAGUCGCAACAGAGAUUACAGAUAAGUAUACUGAAUCCACUAAAUCCAACUUCUCGCAGUAGUAAAGAAACAGUGUCACCAAUAUGACGCAAAAGACUACAGCGAGAAUCGCAAAACACAGCUUCCACUUUGUUUUUUAUCCUACCCUCCCCUAAUUUCAAAGGCGUUUUACGUCGAGAAGGAGAGAUGGUUUGAGAGAGCGGUCGUGGUGGUGACUUUUGGUCUAAUAUGGUGGUGGAAGCUAAGAGAAAAGUUAGAAAAUUUGGUGGUGGUUGGAGAGUUUAAACGUAACCUUCUUCUUCGUUUGGAGGUUCUGAUUUUGUGAACUGGUGGAUGUAUUACAUCUGUGUCGUGAUUGGUAUGGCGAAGAUAAGGCUGGGGAAAAUAUGCGGGUCCGAAAAAUCGAACCGAACCGGAUUCUAAAAGGUGAUAUCAACCAUGAACUGAAACUUGUCAAAUAUCCGAAUGUAUCCAAAAUUUUUAUACCUAAAGAACCAGAACCGAACCCGAUCCAAACCAAAUAUUUCAGGUAUCCAAAAGUAUUUGAAUUAUAAUUAUAUAACUUAAUAUAUUAGUUAUAUUUAGAUUUAACAUAAAAAAAUAUCUAAAAACAUUCAAACUAAUCGAGUGUAAAUAUUUGAAAAUAGCAAAAAAAAAAAUGUAUCCUUUGUCGGUUCUCUCUCCAUGAGACUCCAAGGCGAUUAGGGUUUUGAACAUUCAUUUGCCGCCGCCGGUCUGGCCUCUCGCCUUCCGGUGAGAAACUCUUCUUUCUCCCUCCUCUUUCUUUCUUCCAUGGGGUUAACGGUGACUUCUCCAGUCUCAGAGUCAUUGUUGCUCCUUCCUCCACCUCCUGAACCGCCGCCGUCUGCUCUUCCUCUAGACCUGCUUGGUGGGAUCCCUGCCCCGACCCUCCUGAUCCUCCUGACCCUCCCGACAUGUUCGGUGAAUCAGAUCUGUCGUCUCUCCCUUGUCUCUGUUUCACACUAACAGCUGCAAGGUCUCAUCUGUUUAAUUGUACGAUAACAGCUUGCUCAGUCUGUUUGUUGCUCGUACCUCUUAGAGUGAAGCUUGUUAGGCAUCUGCUUCUCCCUACUGCCGGUUGCAGAUCUUGGAUCUAUGAUUUUGUCUGGGGAGACGAUUUCUCCAUGUUCUUGAGCUUAUUUUUGAAAGGUAUGAUUUUUGCGAUCCGUUUAAAUGAUUCUAAUUGGGAUGGAACCUACCUUAGAUUCGGAUUGCUUGCCCUCAGUUUAAAGAACCAGUCACAACAAUUACCUCAGUAUGAGGAUUUUAAGCUUCCUGUUAGUCAUUGUUUAACUCAGUAUGAAGAGUUUAGGCACUUGGUUUGCCUUACCUUACCUCAGUACGAGGUUCUUUUACCUCAGUAUGAGGUUGUUGUUCAGAAUCUCUCUUUGCCCUCAAUACAAUAUUUUUGUAUGUUGGUAGUGUUCUCUGACGUUUCAGGUAUACUACUACUCAGAAAGAUAGGAGAUGGAUUCAAAAAAGCCAACCUUGGCUCUUUACUUUCAGACUUGUUUGUCUGUCCGUGGUGGUUCUUGCAACUCCACACCCUUUUAUGGUUGAGGAUCUCCUCACAAUUCCAAGGCUCAUCAAAAAGGUGCAUGAUCACCUUUGUAGCCAAGCUUCUUGCUGCUUUCUAUGCAUUUGUUGCGGCAGCAUGUUCGGGUAGCAGCUCACCGAGUGUGGCUUCUGAUUUCCGUGGCGUCAUCUCACCGAUUAGCACUAGGGGUUCACUCUUAAGUUGCUUGUGUGUUAUGUUUGCUUAUAUCUAUGUUUAUGUUACCUGCUUUGCAUGUGAUGCAGCAGUUUCUUUAGCUAGUCUAGCUCUGUUAUAUUACUCCAUAUCCAAUAGUCGCAACAGAGAUUACAGAUAAGUAUACUGAAUCCACUAAAUCCAACUUCUCGCAGUAGUAAAGAAACAGUGUCACCAAUAUGACGCAAAAGACUACAGCGAGAAUCGCAAAACACAGCUUCCACUUUGUUUUUUAUCCUACCCUCCCCUAAUUUCAAAGGCGUUUUACGUCGAGAAGGAGAGAUGGUUUGAGAGAGCGGUCGUGGUGGUGACUUUUGGUCUAAUAUGGUGGUGGAAGCUAAGAGAAAAGUUAGAAAAUUUGGUGGUGGUUGGAGAGUUUAAACGUAACCUUCUUCUUCGUUUGGAGGUUCUGAUUUUGUGAACUGGUGGAUGUAUUACAUCUGUGUCGUGAUUGGUAUGGCGAAGAUAAGGCUGGGGAAAAUAUGCGGGUCCGAAAAAUCGAACCGAACCGGAUUCUAAAAGGUGAUAUCAACCAUGAACUGAAACUUGUCAAAUAUCCGAAUGUAUCCAAAAUUUUUAUACCUAAAGAACCAGAACCGAACCCGAUCCAAACCAAAUAUUUCAGGUAUCCAAAAGUAUUUGAAUUAUAAUUAUAUAACUUAAUAUAUUAGUUAUAUUUAGAUUUAACAUAAAAAAAUAUCUAAAAACAUUCAAACUAAUCGAGUGUAAAUAUUUGAAAAUAGCAAAAAAAAAAAUGUAUCCUUUGUCGGUUCUCUCUCCAUGAGACUCCAAGGCGAUUAGGGUUUUGAACAUUCAUUUGCCGCCGCCGGUCUGGCCUCUCGCCUUCCGGUGAGAAACUCUUCUUUCUCCCUCCUCUUUCUUUCUUCCAUGGGGUUAACGGUGACUUCUCCAGUCUCAGAGUCAUUGUUGCUCCUUCCUCCACCUCCUGAACCGCCGCCGUCUGCUCUUCCUCUAGACCUGCUUGGUGGGAUCCCUGCCCCGACCCUCCUGAUCCUCCUGACCCUCCCGACAUGUUCGGUGAAUCAGAUCUGUCGUCUCUCCCUUGUCUCUGUUUCACACUAACAGCUGCAAGGUCUCAUCUGUUUAAUUGUACGAUAACAGCUUGCUCAGUCUGUUUGUUGCUCGUACCUCUUAGAGUGAAGCUUGUUAGGCAUCUGCUUCUCCCUACUGCCGGUUGCAGAUCUUGGAUCUAUGAUUUUGUCUGGGGAGACGAUUUCUCCAUGUUCUUGAGCUUAUUUUUGAAAGGUAUGAUUUUUGCGAUCCGUUUAAAUGAUUCUAAUUGGGAUGGAACCUACCUUAGAUUCGGAUUGCUUGCCCUCAGUUUAAAGAACCAGUCACAACAAUUACCUCAGUAUGAGGAUUUUAAGCUUCCUGUUAGUCAUUGUUUAACUCAGUAUGAAGAGUUUAGGCACUUGGUUUGCCUUACCUUACCUCAGUACGAGGUUCUUUUACCUCAGUAUGAGGUUGUUGUUCAGAAUCUCUCUUUGCCCUCAAUACAAUAUUUUUGUAUGUUGGUAGUGUUCUCUGACGUUUCAGGUAUACUACUACUCAGAAAGAUAGGAGAUGGAUUCAAAAAAGCCAACCUUGGCUCUUUACUUUCAGACUUGUUUGUCUGUCCGUGGUGGUUCUUGCAACUCCACACCCUUUUAUGGUUGAGGAUCUCCUCACAAUUCCAAGGCUCAUCAAAAAGGUGCAUGAUCACCUUUGUAGCCAAGCUUCUUGCUGCUUUCUAUGCAUUUGUUGCGGCAGCAUGUUCGGGUAGCAGCUCACCGAGUGUGGCUUCUGAUUCCCGUGGCGUCAUCUCACCGAUUAGCACUAGGGGUUCACUCUUAAGUUGCUUGUGUGUUAUGUUUGCUUAUAUCUAUGUUUAUGUUACCUGCUUUGCAUGUGAUGCAGCAGUUUCUUUAGCUAGUCUAGCUCUGUUAUAUUAUUUGUUGAACGAUUACUCUUUUGAUGGAGUCUAAGCUUAGUUUAUGAAAGUUGGUUUGAACCAAAAAAAAAAGCAAAAAAAAAAAAAAAAAAACUCAAACAUCAAAAUCUAUUAAGUGCCUACUAAUUCUCCACCCAAAUAUUCAAACUGAACCAAUUUUCUUGUUAAUUUUAGAUAUUUGGUCCUACAAUAUUUUUUUUUCAAAAAUGAAAAGUUUGUUGUAGAAUUGUUAAACGGUUUGCUUAAACAUAAAUACGUGUUAUACUCGUGAGUUAUCCGAGGACAUUAAUCAGCCCUACAACCGUUCGCCACUAAUCACCUUCUAUAUAUAUGUUAUACUCAGUAAAUAUUGCAAUACAAAUUUGUGAGAGAUAUGGAGGUUCCUACAGCAAAAGAUAAGGUUUGAACUUGAUUUUCGAGGACAAAGAAGACACCCUUGUCAUGUUCCUAGCGUCUUUCAGCGAAUUUUCACUAGCUUUGUCACCUUCUUAGUGGAUUUUUCCGGCGUCCAAGCACUCACCAACGCCGGCGACGAAGAUCAGUAGCUGAUGCAUACGUGAAAAAUAGCUUUGCUUGGGAUCAGCUGAUGCAUACAUGAAAAACAAGGUAGCUGUUUUAUUAGAAUCCAACUCAAAUAUUUUUAUUUGACUUUUAUAUUUCCAAACUGAAAGUUAACAACUCCAAAUCUUAAUCCUGAUUUUGUCAUUUUUAACACAAGGAUUUAUAACUAGCUUCUCUACUGAGUUAUAUAUAUAUAUAUAUAUUUAUUAUUUAUUAUUUAUUUUUAUUUUUAUUUUCUUCUAUUUUUUCCUUUGUUUUUGCUUUAUUUUUAAGUUAUUUUCAUGUCAUUAAAUUUAUUUUAUAUUUAAGAGAAAGAAUUAGGAAAACUUAAUUUAAAGUCCAGUCGCUGUAAUAUAUAUUUUAUGUAUUAAUUUAUUUUCUGAUUAGGAACAUGCUGCAACAACAAAAAAGAACCAAUUACUAACACAAGAUCAUCAAUCUAAACUAAAUGAUGGAUUUAUUUAUUGAUUUCCUGAAGAUUGCUAGCAAGCCAAGAUUACUUGAUGUAUUGAGAGAUGAAAGGGAAAUGACUUUAUCAAAUGGGUGAUAACGGAGUGUUUCCUUCUACCCUUUCAUCGUUCCAGUUGCAGCUAUCGGCCUUUUUCCUACCCACCGUGUUCUGCUACAUUGCGUGCAUCUUGGGAUCGAAGCUGUUCAAGUCCACAUAGAUUAAGACUACGUUUCAAGUAAUUGGGAUCAUUCUUGGAGGAGCAGCUUGCGGCGAGGCUUUCUUCUACGUAGGAUACGAAGCUCAUGUGAGUGUUUCAAUUUUUAUGGUCCUGCUUUUGGUUGCUCUUGGUAUCGCAAAGUGUUGCGAUUGUUGCUGAGUUUUAUCUAAACUAUUAAAACAAUAAUACAAAUUUGAAAUACUUCUGAGUUUUCCUCAAUAAUUACAACCUCAUGCCACUGGAAUAAUUAAUAAACUUACAUUUAAUUAUUCUUUGUCUUUUCUUAUUUUAUUAAUUAAUUUCCUAAAUUGACUAUUAACUAAUGAAUUUCCUAAAUCUUUAUCAAACGUGCAAUUUUUUAAAUUUUAUUAAUACAUUUCCUAAAUUGACUAUUAACUAUUAACUAUUAACUAUCCAUGUGAAUAUAGUGUUACUAUAAUAUAUAUAUGUUAGUAUAUUCUGCAAUUUUUAUUUUUAUUUUUUAUUUUAAAGUUUAAUGCAACUUUUAUCCAAAUUUAUUUAAUAUGUGUUAAACAAUUUUAAAUUGUUUAGUUUGUGUAAGAUACUCAGCAAUUUUUGGCUGAUACUAGUACGAUGUUUGUUAUUUCUAUGUAAUUAUCUUCCAAAUAAAUUUGUUAUUUUCUAUUAAACUAAAUAAGCAUUGUUUCAUUAGUAUCAUUUUCAUAGAAAUAUCCAAAUAAUAAUUUUCCUAAAACAUUAUUUUAUAUUAAAUUAAGUAAGAUUUGUUUCAUUAAUAUCAAUUUCAUUGGAAUAUUCUAAUAAUAAUUUUAUUAAAACGUCAAUAUUUCAAGUUCGACUAGGUUUUAAUUUUUCGUCAAAAAACUAGGUUUUUAUAAUAAUAAUAUGAUAUAUGUAUAUAUACAUUUAUAGAUCUAUUUACCAUUUCUACAAUUUAUAGUAUUAGAAUAUUAAAAAAUAAAAUAAUAUUAAUUUUAUAUUUUCUUUCCGUAAGGACCAUCUAUCUACCGAUUCAUGUUUUCUCUUCUUCUCAUUUUUAUCUUACAUCAUGUAAUUUUUCUAACAUUUUAUUUUUAUACAUAACAAGUUUUUCUUCGCCGUUUUAUCUAUAAUUAUAUAUAUUCUUAUAAUAAACUCAGCUAAAUCAAAUAUGCAUUGAAAGUAAAGAAACAAUAUUUGACGUACAACCACUAGAAGAACAAUCGUUCAAAUAUAAUUGAAUUUGUAAAUCGGGGUUUUCAACAAAAUCAGGACAUCUAUUGUAACAGUUCUAGCAGUUUUGGUAAUUUUAUUGGGUCAACACAAAUCCGUUUUAGUAACAACGCGGAUUCAGCUAAGUAAAGGAGUUACGAUUGAAUUGGUCUAAUUGGUUGGCCAGUUUUAAAAAAUAAUCAAUAUCAAUUUGUUUGAUUAAAUAUCUAAGAACAAUAUGCUAACACAACUAAAAACCAUAAUGGAUCUUGAUUUGAUUUUAAGAAAAUAAAAUAACAUCCGUUCGCAAGCACGGGCAAACACUAGUUUAAGAUUAUUUAAGUUGUUUUCUUUUAAUCAAACUUGGUAGUUGGUCUUUUUGGUGUCAGUUUAAUGUCUUAAUCAAACUUAAUAUUAAUAUUUUAUUUAAGAGAAAAGGUUUAUGUUAUAACAUUUAAGUUGAUUCAACUGUACACUCGCUACAACUCGUUGAAUUUUUGUUUGAGCCCAUUUGUUAUUGGCUUUAUAAGUCCAACUUGUGCCAGAAAAAAUGAAUCCAACGAAUAUAUUUAGCUAGUUAAUAUACGACUAGGAGUUUUCAUGCGCCAUGCGCAGAAAUAGUAAUUUUUAACAUAAUAUUUUUUAUUUCAAAAGAAAAUUUUGAUUUAUAUUUCAAUAUUAUUAAUUUAUAUUUUAACUUCAAUAGUUAUAAAAAAUCAUAAAGGUAUUUUUGUAAUCUUAUUUUUUUUAUUUGGUAUAAUUAUUUAAAUUAGAUUUUAUAAAAAUAGUUUUAAUUAUAUUAUUGUGUUUAAUGAUUAUUUAUUUUAAAUAUAUAUAUAUAUAUCUUCCCAUCUAAUUUUAAAUAUAUACAUAUAAAUAUAAAUUCUAAUAAAUUUGAGACUUUGUUUGUUUUUAGUUAAACUGAAAAAUAUUUUUGUUAAUUUAAAUGAUGAAGAUGAACGGAUAAAUUUAAAUAAUGUUUAAAUAUUUAACUAUCAAUUUUUUUUUGGAUUAGUGUUACUUUAUUUAGUUUAUUUUUAUUAAUGUGAGAUACAUAUAUAUAUUAUUAUUUUAAUUGUGAUAUAUGAAUUAUUAAUAUAUUUAAUAGUUUACCAUAAAUAAAUAUUUAUAUGGAAAAUUGAUAUUAAUGAUGAUAUAUGAGUUAUUUUUAUUACCAUAUUUAAAAUCCCUGCAAAAAAGUUUAAAUUUUUAUAAGAAAAUUUUACAUCUCACAAUUAAUAUGAUGGCAUGUCACUAUUUUCUAAAACCAUGUCAUCUAUUUUAAAUGUCAUGUCAUUUUUUUCAGCGAGAAUGAUUGUAGUGACGACAAGUGUAUAAAUCAUUUCGCAAAUAUAGUUUAGGGGAUUAGAGACUAAAGACGUAACACUAUAGUGAAAUGCUCUUAGCUAUAUUAUAUGUUAUAAAAAAAAUUCUUAUUACAUGUCUAGAGAAAACUAUAUAUCCAAAACAACUAAUUAUCAUAAAAGCGAACGUUGUAAUGUUUUUAUUUGUCAGAAAUGAACAUUGUGGGUUUACAAAGUUUUUUCUCUCUAAAAAAAAAAGUUUUUUCUCAGUUACUUUUCUUUUAAAAUUUGUUUAAUGCAUUGAUUAUAUAAUCAUAACUUGUUUAUAUGAUUCCUCCUCAUGCAUUCAUCCACACACGUCGAUAUUUCCACGCUGAUACCUCUGUAAUACGUGUAAAGUUACUACUUAGUUAAUGUUUAUAAGCAAAGGAAAGAUUCUGCUAAUAGAAAAGUAAAUUACUACAAUACUACUUCAAGUUAUGACUGUACGUAUUUAUUGAAUCAAACCCAUUAAAAUCCGGAGUUGACCUUAAUAUAUAUAAACUAGUUGCUAUAUUAUGGUUUUGGUAAAUUAACAAUCUAUUCUAAAUAAUAUAUUAGCAUAUCUGAGCUGCAGUGUUGGAAACUGUACAUAAAAGAGAUAGAUUCAAAGGAAAGGUCAGAGCAAUUUGCUGGCGGAAAGUCAUACAGUUCCCAACUUGUAAGGAGUCUCAUCAGAAAAAUGGCAUCUUUGAAAAUUAUAGUAAUUAUGGUAUAGAUAUUAACUUAAUAGAGUUUAUCUAUUCUAAAAGAAAGUAUAGAAGAAUGUUACUUUAACCUCUAUAUUUAGAGGUAAAAAUAACACAUCUCUACAUUUAGAGGUAAAAAUAGCACAUUUCUAUAUUAUCUUCUGUAAACAGAAGAAUUUUAUUAUAGAAAAAGUAUACAUUGGAACAAAUCUAUCUCUAUAAUAUAGAUUAUUUGUUUUAGAAUAAAUUAUAAAGAUGAAAAUAAAGUAGAUUAUUUGUUUUAGAAGAAAUUAUAAAGAUAGAAAAUAAAGGUGAGUUGGAGAUAGUCUUAGCUAAGCAAGAUAUGCGGUUUACUUUAUUAAGAUGCAUAUACAGUAUACUCACUUUUUAUUACACAUUACCAUAUAUAAAGCAUGAUUUUAUAAAAAAAACAAUAUAUACAAAUUGUCUACGUAUGCGUUUCCUUAGAAAAUUAUAAGAAAUAUGAUACUACUCAAUUAAAAACAAUUAUAAUAAAUUUAAAAGCUGACCACCAUUAAAAGAUACAUAGUACUGUUUUCUAACAAUUGUUUGAAUCAGACAUAUGCAAGUAUAAUCUUCAACUAGAUUUUGAUCCACGCUUUCAAGGCGCGGGUUUAUUUUUGUUUUUCUUUUCAAUUGACAAAUAUUUAGUAAAUGUCACAUUUUCAUAUAUUUGUGUUUUAUUUUAUAAAAGACUUAAAAAUUUUAUCUUUAUUUAUCGUAUUUCAUUUUAAAUGACUAUUUAUGUUAAAAAAAUUAAACUUUAUUUUUUUAAUGAAUUAAGUUGGUAUAACUCUGAUAAAUUAAUUUUAUUAUGGGGUUAAUAUUUUAAUUAAAAAAUUAUAUACUUUUAAUAAAGAUUUAUACUUUUCAAUAAAAAAAUUCAAUUAUUUUUAUGAAUGCUUAAAUUAUAUUAAGAAAAGAAAAAAAUAAUAAUUAAGAAUAGUUGAAAAAAAAUUAUUUGAACUUGGACUCAAUGGUCCAAAGGAAAAAAAAAGGUGAGAAUUGAAUCUGAUUUUUUAAUAGGCCCAAAUGGCCCAAGGGAGAUUUGAUUUGGGCUGGAUCCAAAAAUAAUGACCCAAUAUAAAUUUAUUAUUAAUAUUACUUAAUUGCCCUUAAUGAAACAUGCAAUGUUAGUGAAAGAAACAUGCCCCUAAAGUAAUUAUGACAAUAGGAUACUGCUUUAAUAGUAUAGAUACUUAUUUAGACUAAAUUUUUUGUCGAGUGGCAUUGUACCAAACAUAACAUGACAUAUGCAUAUAGAUCACCACGAGUGCAUAUUAGGUUGUUAGCAUAUACCCGUUUGAACACGAACCAAUAACUUUGAAAUACCAAAUUUGUGGGUUUGCAUCAAACUUCAAUAUUUUCAUGCAGGAACAUUUUGUUUCUUUCCUUGUCCCCAUAGCCAUCACUUGGUUUACCUUACACAUCAUCCCGGAACGGCUUGGGGAAGAUAUUUACACUCGUUGGUUUACUCCCUACUUUAACCGAAAAACCAAGAAUCUUAUUCCCGGUCCGAGAGGGGUUCCACUCGUGGGAAGCAUGAGCCUUCAUGCUUAAGGCCAAAUAACAGAUUAAGUCUUAGUGGCCAAUCAUUUUGAAAAAGACACCUAUAGUUCAGUUCAGUUGGCAACAGUCUUUAGGAUCAAGUGUAAAGUUGAGGGUUUGAAUUUUGGAUGAAGGAAUUAUGAAUAUUCAGGUCUGGCUGGCUCUGAGCCUAAGGUCAAUAUUCCAUAUGGCUCAUUAGCUCAUAGCGGCUGUGGCUAAGAUGAGUAACGCCAAACGGCUCAUGGCGUUUGAUCUCGGUGAUAGUGACGUGUCAUCCUGAAGUGGCAAAGAAAAUACUGAACAGUUCGGUUAUUGCAGACCGGCCUGCCGACAAAACCGUAACCGGUUUUGAUGUUAAACCGAAACAUGGGAUUUGUUCCAAAUGUUCAAGUUCAACCCGAAGCAAAUCAAAAGCUCGGAGGAGCAGAGCUGCAGAGGCGAAUGGAAUGGUCGUGACUGAUUCAGAUGGGUGAAUGCGUUUAUAGGUAAUGCUGCUGGACCCGUGUUUGUAGUGCGUGACUUACUCAAGAAAGGCGUCGAUGGGUUUAGUUUUCGGGAAAGGAUAAUGAGUUUUUAGAGACUAAUAAACAACGUGGAAUCGGAGUACUUGAAUUGUACCGAUCAUAUUCCUUGGUUAGCUGGUCUGAUUUCCAGCAAGUCCGGUUUAGGUGUUCUCAUCUAGCUCGUACCGAAACUAAAUCAAUCGAGCCGGAACAUGCUCAUGAUGAUUUAACUGAGAUGAAAGGAUCGAAUCCCAUCGGAGGAGCAGCAAAAAAAUACGUCGAUGAGCUUGGCCGAAGCGCAGCAACGCACGCUCACUCAGCCGUUCGAUCUACGGCUCAGAUUGUCUCCACCGGAGAUAUCCCAGCGUCAGCUUCAUGAACAGGUAGGUACUUUCUCUCUGAUUCGAAAGAACUGAAUCUAUCGUUCGAUUGAUCGAUCUUAUUCCAAUUUUUCAAUUAGGCUCAAAUGAGGAGUUUUAUACAGGAAAGAGCACUGAAGCAGCCUUCUCCAGGUUCUUCUCCUCAUCAACUUUCUUCAUGUUCUCUCACACGCAAAACUUAAUCUGAUUUGUUGUUAAAAAGGCCAUAAAAAAAACUAUGUUUGAUAAGCUUAUUUUCAGUAGAGAUCUGUUUUUGGUUCCGUAAGAAAGGUUUUGAUAUGCUGAAAAGUUUCCUUCCACGUUAUCUGAGUGGGAAGGUUUUGCUUUCACAGCUCAGGGAGAUAAGACACAACAACAACUCCAUACUCUAAUCUAGCAAUUAGCAGCUCAAUCUAUCAGUCUACUUUUAACAGAAACCUUUGAUAUGGCACAAGCAGAGGGGAUCGUUGGUGAGAUUCAUUCGAAUGAGAUGGAAUUAGAAAGACUGAACAGUUUAUUGGAGAAGAUAUGAGAGCUUUAACUUGCAGGGAACACACACAAAACGGCCUCAGAGAUUUGCUCUGUUUUGCAUCAACAUUACAAAUUUGAACAAGCUAAUAAGUGAAAAAUAAAUUUGUUACCGAUGUGUAAGACAAAAGUGGGGAUAGCUCAGAUGGUAGAGCCUCGGACUGAAGAUUUCAGUGUGGCAUGUUCCAUACACGUUCAAAAAGCAUUUAAUUCUCAAAUCACUUUUCUAUUCAUCAUAAUUAUUUUUUCUCUCAAGAAGUAAAAAAGAAUGUCAUCACCAUUUGCAACAUUAUUCUAUACAGUUUGUACCAAAAAUAAAAGUAAAAGAAAACCUCAAAUCAUUGACAUUUGUAUAUCUAUGUCACUUACCGAGCACUUAACGAUCAAGAACUAAUAAAAUGCUAUCUUAAGCGAAUUGUUGGUAUCUAUAUUCUCGUUCUCGUCAAGGACAUGCGUUAUGUCAUCCUCAGUAAUAUUCCCAACUUCUUUAAAGUUUUGACACAAUGAAAUCUAACUUACAAAUACAUGAUUUUGAUUCACUAAACAUAGACAUUAAUCGCCACAAAACAGAAAUCUUCUAGAGAGAAACUUCAAAAGAAUGUUAUACAUCAUACUUGGGUAAUAUCAUAUGAUUGAGCCAUUGAUUUUCUUAUCUGCAAAGUAAUAAAACAAACUAACCAUAAAAGGACUUGAUAAAAGAAUCCAAAACACCGAGAAAACCCUCUCAUAAACCAUAUGAAAUGGUUUGUCUAUGUAACCCAUUGUCACAACAGAGUUAAUCAAUAAGUAAAUUUAAUCUAUAUAUACAAUUUCUCAGAAUAGUAAAGAAACAUAACUCACACUACAAGCCACAAGAAGAUAAGGAGAAUAACUAAACAUAACUUCCAAACAACCUAUUAAAUACCUACAUUUAUUUUUAUUGGUUUCUAUAUUACCCAACUAAACUAAAGGGUUUUUGUCACUAGCAUAUAUAAAAAAAGUUGUGAUUUAUUUAACCUUUUAUUGAACCUUUAUUAAAUCAUAUGAUUAUUGAUGAGCAACUAUUGUACAUUUCAGAAAGUGUUAGAUAUAUUAUGAAUUGAGAGAUGAGAGGGAAAUGAGUUUACCAAGUGGGUGAUAACGGAGUGUUUCCUAUUCAUUCUGGUGAAGUAUUUACCAGAGGGAAACAAAGGUGUUCCUUCUACGUAUGAUGUUUUCACCCCUUGGUUUUUUGGUAUGACAUCUACCGCAAAGUCUGGGUGCUGUGCAAAGAUAUCUCUUACUGGACCAGCCUAGCAAUGAUUAAUAACAAAAAUAAACAUUAUUAACAAACUACCCAUGCUGGAAUUGUUAGUUUAAAUAAGAAAGAGGAAACCUCAUUCAGCUUUCUUGAGAAGCAAAAAUAUGGAAACCAUUGUAAUCUAAAACAUCAUUCUCGGUUGAUUUUCCUGCAUGAACAACUUCAAAUACUUUCAUGUAGACUUCAAUGGUUAGUUUGUUUUUCUCCAGAAGCCUCUUUUCUUGGAGCUUCGUCAAAGGAAACGUCGUAGGUAAACCCCAGGUUGGGGCCUCAGCGCAGAACAAUCUGCGUCUGCCUUCGUCUAAAAAAAAAUAAAUGCAACAUAUAUAAUGAAGCUCAUCACUACCAGGUGAUCUAAAAAGCUCUUUGCCGGAUUGAUUCAACAAAACGAAGCAAAAGCUAACUCUCCUUUUCCAUCCAGAACUCAAUUUAUGAGUAUCCACAUCUUUCAGGUACAUACACAGGUGAUCACGAGCACAAACGCCAAGAAACCUAAGAGAAAACAUCAAAAUUUUAGAUAUAGACACCAUGCAACCACAAGAAGGAUCCCCCCCCCCCUUUUAGUUUACCAAUUGCAGCCGCCGCUUGAGAAGGUAUCCGACUUCAUCACAUCGGUCCUUUCAGAUAGGUUGUCUAUCUCCCAACUUAAGGCCUUUUUCAAUUUCGUCCCCAUUUUAGAGCUUUUUUAUUCCUUGCGCAGACAAAAAAAACAAAACAAAAUGUUACAGCUCGCCUAGGCCAAACCAUCUACGAGUGACUGGCAAUUUAACAAAUGAUAGUUAACAUCUCAAACAUGAAGAUUAUAAUUACAUGUUUUACAAUUAUCGCUGUAAACAACAUCCAGUUUUCUAAUAUCAUGAAAGGGAGGAUUUAUAUGUCUAAGUAGUCGUCCUAUAUACGAUUAACCAUUUUAAGAAAACUUAAAGCUCACCAAUAUGAUCUUUACCACAUUGUUAUUACCAAACUCCAUGCUACCAGAAUAUGACCUAACCGAUCUAUUUUUUUCGGGGUUACGAUCUUAUGAUUAAUUAAGUUCAAACGGGAAUCAACAAUAUGUCCAAAGAUCCAAAUCAAACAGCAAUACUUUUCUUAAAAGAAGAGGUUUGCAGCCUGCAGCAGCGAUACUCUUAAAAUAUAACCAAGCUAGGUGUUUUUCUGCACCAUGUGCAGUAAGAAAAUUUUUAAAUCUAACUUAUAUUUAAAAAUAAAUUUUAUUAAAUAUCAUAGAUUUUACUAUUUUCUUACUAAUAUUUAAUAUAGAUUUGAUAUAUAUUAAAUCAAUUUGUAUAAAACUAAUAAAAUGAUAUAAAAUUGUAUAAUUAUCAAAAAAUUAGCCUAAACAAUAUUUAUAAAAUUUGUAGAUAUAUAAGAAACUAAUGUUCUUACGAUUAGAUAUUUAAAUUUUUAAAAAAUUGUAGAAAUUUUUGAAAGUUUUAGUAAUACAAAUUGUAUAAUUAUACAAAAAUGAUAAUAUUUCGAAAUUUAAAAUGUUAUAUAUGAAUAUAUUUAUUUUAUAGAUGGUGUAUGAGCUAUUACCAUAUUUUAAAAAAGUUUACCAAAAAGAAAUAUCAAUAUUAAAUGUAAUAUAUGAAUUAUUACCAUAUUCUAAUAAAUUUGCAAAAAAUAUAAAUCAACAUUAAAUGAAAUUAUUCAUGUCAUAUUUUUCCGGAAGUCAUGUCAUCAAUUUCAGUAGUCAUGUCAUAUUUGUUUUGUGAAAUUGAUUGUAAAGAGACACGUGACAAAAUAACUUCUCAAAUAUAGUUUUCGAUAUGAUCGAUCUAGGCAGUCCGUUGUAUUGAACUCUAUUUACUUUAACCGGUUGGGAUUUUCUUAAUUUUUACUUCUCACGUUCAUGGUCGUCAAAGAUCCAGCAGUCUUUACAUACAAAACUUGUAACGAGAGAUUGAUUCACUCACUGAGAUGACUAAUUAAUUAGGUUCGACAAUACAACUGUGUGGACUGUGGAGUGAAGUAAAGUGAAAAUCUUACUUUUGACAUUAACUUUCUCCUUUAAUCCGUAAACCUUUUGGAGGCAAGGACCCACUCCGUUUGUAACGGCUACUUGUCCAUUUUUUAUUUAAUUUGGUCAAAUUCUCUCUCGCUCUCUCGAAAAAACCAAAACCAAAAGAGAUUUGCACCUUCCGUUCACCGUCACCAGCAGCUCUCCGCCGCCGGUGGCGGGUCACUUCUCUUAUCUUAUUUUUUUUUGCUCUUCUUCAUCAUUAGCUUCUCAUCUCCGACAUUGUUUGCUCUUGGGAGCUUUUCUGGCCUCGAAGCCUUUUCCCGGCCAGAUCUGCUGGCGGAUGAAGCUGGGACCUGCGGCGAGGAGAUGAAGCUGAACGGUGAGGUUGAGCUUCAAGUCUUCCUCUGGUUCUUCUCAGCUCAGCUACCUCGCUUUCCGUUCCAAGCUUCUAGAUCCGUCGGAGGCAGUGAGCUCCAUUCUCUACUUCUCGGAGCUGUCCGUCUUGUGGGUCCAUCAAGUCGAUUUUGACUGUCCAAGGAAGAAAUUUCUUUUUGAGGUCUUUCUCUCGAGCGGUGGAGAAACCGUUUGCAUCGGCGGCGGUCUAAACGCCACAACCCCUAGUCGCCGAUUCGAAUUGGAGCAGUUCAUCGAGAAUCAUUACGUAAGCAUCAAAUUUUCAUCAGAAAAUAAACAAAAGAAUCUGAAUCAGGUUUUGGACAGGGGUUGACUUUUGUUUGACUAUUUAAAUGUUUCUUUCACAGAGUGUGGCAAGGAUGAAGACGAGAACCAGAUGAUGAGGAAUGGCGAGUCUGUAUUGUUUGAUAAAUGUUCCUUUUGGUGAGAGGUACAUUCUCCACUCUCUCUUUUUUAGAAACCGUUUUUUUUUUCAAUUUUUUAAAAGGAAAUUAUCUAUUACUUGAUUAAUUAAUAAUAUAAACUUAUGUGUAAAAACAAAUAAAACAUAUCAUUGUAUUAUCGAGACUAGGGGUUUUUCCAGGCAACCUCCGGAUCGGACAAAUAUAUUUACAUAUAAUAUAUAAAAUACAUAUAUAAAAAAAAAAUAUUCUAUAUUGAAUUUAAAAUGCUCGAACCUUAAAUUUAAAGUGGUUGUCUUUUGAUUAUAAAAUAUAUACUAGACUUUGAGACGCACGGGUGUUUUCAUUUUUUAUAAUCAAAAUUUAAGAUUGAUUAUAGUUUUAAUUGUUUCUAAAUAAUUACAUAGUAUUGGUUGUUUUUAUGUCUUUUGGAUAUUCAAGUAAGCAAAAUCAUAUUUUAAAAAUAUACAGAUUUUAUAGAAAAGUAAUAUAAUAUAUUAUUCACUUUUAUAUGGAUGAAAAUUUGUUUUAUAUACCUAAUAUAAACUUAUAACAUUUGCAACAUUUACACAAAACAUAAUUAGUUUAAUGUCUUAAAAUAAAAGAAAUUUAUGAGUAAUAAGAAAAAAUGAUAAGAUAUGAAGAUUGUGUUUAUUUAAAUAUGAAACUUUUAUUUAUCUCCUAAAAAAUAAUUAAACAAAAUCUCUUAUAUUAUAUGAUAAAGAACUUGUUACAUAUUAAAUUUCUUUUCUCCAGAAUAUCUAGGCUAUGUCUUCUUACUAAUCAUUCGUUUACUUUGUCGUUCACGAGUUUUCAACAAUUUCUCAAUUUUCAAAAAAACAUUUUUUUCAACCAAUGCUAGAUUGAAAGACUGAUUCUUCACUAAGUUAUUAAACUUUAAAAGGAAAAUUUUUUUUUCCUUAAAUCAAUUUUCAUCUAAGACAUCAGUUUGUUACAACUAAUUUUUUGUGAAACAUUUUGUAAUGUUUUGUAGUAUCACUCAAAAUCUUUAUUAAAAUAUUAAUUAUUAGUGUUUUUUAAUUGCAACGAACACUUUCAAUUUGUCAUUCCUAUUUGAUUUACCAUAUAUUUUUGAUAAAGUGAUUUACAUAUUAAACUUACUAUUUAAGCAACACUAAAAAUGAUAAUGACUGUGAAAUUUUGAUAAAUUUGGAGUUGUCCAAUUAGAAAAGAGAAAAAAAUAUAUAAGUAAUGACUAUUUGUUGAUUUUUUUAAUUGAAACUAUGAAUGCAUAAGUUUAGAUCAAUAGUAAUUAUAAUAAUGUAUUUUCAUGAGAAUUCAAAUAUGUCAAAUAAAUAAAUAUUUAGGUUACAGUUUUAACUAACUUUUUAUUAAUUUUCAUCUUCUUCAUCCUAUAUAUAUAGUUUAUAAUCAAAAGACAACCGCUUUAAAUUUAAGGUUCGAGUAUUUUAAAUUCAAUAUAAAAUAUUUUUUUAUAUAAAUUAACCAUAAUUUAUGUAUUUUAUAUAUUAUAUGUAAAUAUAUUUGUCUGAUUUAGGGAUAGUCCGGGAAAACCCUAAUCUCGAUAAUACAAUAAUAUGUUUUAUUUGUUUUCACACAUAAGUUUAUAUUAUUAAUUAAUCAAGUAAUAAAUAAUUUCUUGAAUCAUUUGUUAAACCCUAUGUACUCGUAUACACAUACAUACAUAUAUACUUACACAUAUACAUAUAAUCAUAUAGAUAUAGAUGUAUAUAUAUACACAUAUACAUAUUUUACACACAUAUAUACAUAUACACACAUUUACCUAUACAUAUGUAUAUAGGCGUAUAUAUAUAGGAUUAAACCCUAAACGUAGGAUUAAAUCCUCCGGGGUUGAGUCACUACAAUUUAUCAAGUGUUCUCUCUCGGGCACUUUCUCCAAGACGUGACAGCGACUGAUAUCUACCUUGUUCUCCUCCAAGAAACCUGGUUUGUCUUUUCCACCACGUGGUUUUCCACCGUUAUCUACCUGGCUUCCGCUGCACCUGCCUUGUUUUCCAUCUCCCUGAAACCGGAAUUCAAAAACUUUCGAUUUCUACAGUCUUCAACCGAUACAACAGACCCCUGAUGGAACCAGUCAUGGUUCCCAGGUAGAUCUGUAUGAAAUUCCCUACCCUGCCGCUGGGGUUUACUGUCGGAGUACAGUCUGGUUCUCUUCCAACUACCUUCCACUAAGGUUCUUCUUCGAACGCAUCCCCAAGUCCUCGCUGCUACAAGCCUACUGUCGAAGUACAGUCCCUCUCGCCACAAUACCUUUUCACUAAGGAUCCUUAUCAGUUUACUCUUCACAUACAACGAUGGCUCGAUGUUUCUCUCAUAUGGAAAAGGAAAAAUGGCUCUCAUCCUCCCCUCGACAAGAGAAGAAAGCCCCGAUUAAGAUCCCAGCCAUUAAUCGAGCAAAUCUGAUUGAUGAACACAAGUUUACCCUCAUAGGGAGAGUUACUAACCCUGCAAUCCAGAAGACCAGAGGCCUUGUGGACUUCUUUCUCCAACAUUGGCAAUUUGUAGGCUCCUUUACAGGCAUAGACCUUGGAACCCUACUGUUCCAGUUCACCUUCGAGUCGGAACAAGACCUACAAGCCAUUCUAUCCCAAGCACCUUACCACUUUAAAAGAUGGAUGUUCAUCCUCCAGCGUUGGGAGCCCAUUGUCUCUGACCAGUUCCCAGCCUUCAUCCCCUUUUCGAUAACCAUUCAUGGCAUUCCCCUCCACUACUGGACUAAGGAGGCUCCAGAAGCCAUUGGCGAAGGUCUAGGACUGGUUGAAGCUACUGAUGUGGUAAAAGGAAGGGUUAGGGUCCAUAUUAAUGGCCUCAAACCCCUGGAAAAGUUCCUCGAUAUUAGCCUAGAGGGUGAAACUAAACAAGUUGAGCUCGAAUAUGAGAAGCUUGACAAGCACUGCUUCUCAUGUCUCUCUAUGUCUCAUGAAGUCAAAGACCCCCUCAAGGACUACCAGCCGAAAUACUUCAGACCAGAACUUGGGAAUCUCCCAAAGACGUACGUUGGAACGUAUCGAGGAAAACAGAAGGAGAGCUGAUAAUCGCAAACAAGCAAGGUUCACACCCUACGAGGAUUCGAGGAAUCAUAGGAGAACUGAUCACCCUAUGAGGAUUCGAGGAAUCAUAGGAGAACUGAUCACUCUCAGGGCAACCAAGGCUAUUAUAACGAGCGCCCUGAGAAUCGCAAUCAUCACUACGAUGGUCGCAGAGAGCACCUACCUGACAGAUCAUUCUCUGCAAACGAAAACAGAGAAAGACACAGAACAAGAUCCAGAGAGCCUACUUAUAGACUACCACCCAUUAGAGAGAGCUCGGAUGUCUCUCUCAGAUCCCGUGGAAUGCACUCAGCAAAUCCCCCAGUUAAGAAUGUUUGGCGCCCUGUCUCAAGAGAUCGGGAGAAUGGAGGACACUCUAACUCGGUCCAAUCUCAAGUGUCUCACACACCAUCUCCCCUCCCACCACGUGAGCGGAUUACUUCACCUAACAUCACGCCACAGGGCACGCCCCGACCCGCUGGUGAAAAGUCUGCAACUCCAUCUGCAAGACGCUCAGCUCUCGAGCGAUUGUGUGAUGGAGAGACAUUAAUGCCUCAAUGGGAGAAAGACGCUCAGCGUUGGCUCGCAUCUCCACUCCCCCCACUAGGGUCCCUCUACUCCAUAAUAGAGUUGCAAAUUCAGAGUCUGGAAGGUUACAUGAGGUUGACAUCCAAUACCUGGAAGAAAUGUUUCCUUACCAGACCCCGGAAGCUCCGUCUACGCGAAUGACGCUAAGAGGAACUGGGAAGAAGAAAAUCGCAAAAACCCCAGCUAAGAAGAGGACGAUCCGCAGCCCGGUUCAAGGCAUCAGUCUCAACAAACGUCGAGUAACUAAGGCACAGAGCUCCCCAAAGCGUAAACUGAUACUUGAUUCCAAAGCUGAAGGAAAGGGAAAAGCGUCAUCGCAACCAGCAGCUGUCUUAAUCCCCGCUAUAACAAAGAAGAAGGAGGAUUUUCGGACAGCUCCAGACUCUCUUCCUUAGCGAGUGUGAGCUGGAACUGUCAGGGUAUAAGGAACCCACUGACAGUUCGCCGGCUCCGGGAGAUACGAUCUAAACUCUCCGCCGACAUCAUGUUCCUUAUGGAGACAAAGAACCAAGAUGAAACUGUCCUCAACACUUAUAGAAGCUCUGCGUACUCCAAUCAUUUUACGGUCCCUCCCGAUGGGCUCAGUGGAGGCCUCGCCCUCUCUUGGAAAUCAAGUGUUCAUCUCGAUGUGUUGUACUCUUCACCCAACAUUAUCAACACUUGUAUCACAAAUCAUAAUAAAACCUUCUUUGUCUCGUAUGUCUAUGGAGCCCCCCGCAAAGAGCAAAGAACGGCUUUCUGGAACAAACUUUCAGAACUGGGCGGUCAACGGCAAGAGGCUUGGCUGAUCACAGGAGACUUCAACGACCUAUUAAAUAACUCGGAAAAGAUUGGCGGGCCCUUGCGAUGGGAAGGCUCCUUCCUAGCCUUUCGUAGCUUCGUUACCCAGCAUGGUAUUUGGGAUCUCCAACACUCCGGUAACUCGCUUUCGUGGCGAGGCACGCGCUACAGUCAUUUCAUUCAAUCCAGGCUUGACCGUGCUAUGGCAAACUUGGCCUAGAAUGAAAUGUUCCCUAUGGGCAGAUGUGAAUACCACCGGUUUGAGGGUUCUGAUCAUAGGCCGGUGGUAACUCUAUUUGACACUAAUCUCCUGAAGAAGAAAGGGGUCUUCCGUUUUGACAGGAGACUCCGGGAGAAGCCCGAGAUCAGAAACCUGGUCGCGGAAGCUUGGCAGAACCAACCUUUCGACUCUGUCUUGGCUAAGAUAGGGCGCGUCAAGCAAAAGAUUGUGGAAUGGACGAAGCUUCAAAAUCUUAACAGCAAAGCGCUUAUCCAAACCACACAAGUGGAGUUUGAAGAUGCUCUCUCAGCCAGCCCUCCCGACCAAAACCUCAUCUCUUCGCUGCAACAAACUUUGAUUAAGGCGUUUGAAGAGGAAGAGCAGUUCUGGCGGCAACGCAGCCGCAUUCAAUGGCUAAACAGCGGAGAUAUAAAUUCAAGUUUCUUCCAUGCGGUGACCCGAGGGAGGAGAGCUCAAAAUAAUUUCUCUGUUAUUGAGAAUGAGAAUGGCGUCGCUGUGUUUGAUGAACUGCAGAUUGUCCAGACCAUUUCUAAAUUCUAUCAGGACAUUUUCUCUUCCAAGUCUUGCGGUGACCUGCGUGUAGUUCAGAAAGCUCUCUCACCAAAGGUAACCACGAAAAUGAAUCGGACCCUUAUAGCUUCUCCAACUGACGACGAGAUUAAGACUGCAGUGUUCUCGAUCAAGGUGGACAAAGCUCCAGGUCUGGAUGGUUUUUCCGCGGGUUUUUAUCAGUCCUUCUGGGACAUCAUUGGACCUGAUGUAUCAAACGAUAUCCGCUUAGACCUGAUGUGCUAAACCGCAGGCAGAAUGAGACACAUGUCCGCCUCAUCCCAAAGAUAGACGGACCGAAACGAGUGGCCGACUAUAGACCUAUCGCUCUUUGCACCACUCAUUAUAAGAUCAUCGCGAAGAUCCUCACCAAACGUCUUCAACCGCUUCUGGAUCAGCUUAUCUCGCGACAUCAGUCGGCCUUUGUCCCCGGAAGGGCCAUAGCCGACAACGUCCUUAUCACUCACGAGAUCUUUUAUUAUCUUCGAACUUCGGCGGCCCGACAACGGUGUUCAAUGGCGGUCAAGACCGAUAUGAGUAAGGCCUAUGACCGGAUUGAAUGGGAUUUUCUUCGCGAGGUGUUGACAAGAUUUGGAUUUCACAGUAUGUGGGUCUCUUGGAUUAUGGAGUGUGUCUCCUCCGUUUCUUACACGUUCCUGAUCAACGGAGCACCUCAAGGAGGCGUGUUACCAUCUUGUGGGUUACGGCAAGGAGACCCGUUGUCCCCGUACCUCUUUAUCCUUUGCACGGAAGUCUUAUCGGGCCUAUGUAACCAGGCUCAAGACCGGGGUACUUUAGCGGGGAUCAAGGUGGCUCGCGGAUAUCCGGCGAUAAACCAUCUCUUAUUCGCAGAUGAUACGAUGUUUUUCUGUAGAUCGGACAGAGAUAGUUGUACUGAACUGAUGUCCAUCCUUAACCGUUAUGAAGCUGCCUCCGGGCAAUGUAUUAACCGGACCAAGUCUGCAAUUACUUUCUCCUUUAAAACGCUCCCGGCCACCAAAGAUAAUGUGAAGAAUGCCCUUGGGAUUGCGAAUGAAGGUGGCAUUGGAAAGUACCUUGGCUUAUCGGACGACUUUGGUAGGAAGAAACGGGAUAUCUUCUCAAUGAUAGUUGACCGGAUCCGCCAAAGGGCCCAUAGCUGGAGCUCCAAACUUCUCUCGGGGGCUGGAAAAUUGGUCUUGCUAAAGUACGUCCUAGUUAUGAUACCGUCGUAUGCGAUGUCCUGCUUUAAUCUUCCACAGUCCCUCUGUAAGCAGAUACAAUCAGUCUUGACUUGGUUUUGGUGGGACCUAAAACCGGAGAUAAGGCGACUUUGUUGGGUAUCAUGGGAGAAGCUCACGAUGCCGAAGAAUGCUGGUGGACUAGGCUUUUGCGAUAUUGAACACUUCAAUGAUGCUCUCCUAGCAAAACUCGCUUGGCGCUUACUCAAGCAUCCUGAUUCGCUACUUGGCCAGAUCCUAUUAGGAAAGUAUUGCCGACAGAACGAUCUCCUCUCAUGCUCUUCCUCGGGAGCCAUGUCACACGGUUGGAGAGGAAUUCUAGCUGGCCGAGAAGUAAUUAAGAGGGGAUUAGGCUGGGCAGUGGGCACAGGAAAGGACAUCAAUGUGUGGAAUGAAAAUUGGCUCUCAACGGGUGAAGUAUCACGUCCCAUUGGACCUCCAAAUUUCCAAGAUCAAGAUCUGACGGUGCAAGACCUCAUUCUUCCCUCAACGGGAGAGUGGAAUGUUAGCGCCAUAAGAGCCCACCUACCUCAGUAUGAGGAUACAAUCCGACUGUUACAGCCUAGUGCCUUUGAGAUGCAAGACACCUUGGUGUGGCUGCCUGAGAAGUCGGGAUCAUAUACCACAAAGUCGGGUUAUGCGCUGGCAAAACAACAUGGUACUUGUCAAGAAACAGAAGAGGCUCUACACCACUUUAACUGGAAAACGUGUGUCUGGAGCAUAGCAACAUCUCCUAAGCUAAAGCUCUUUCUGUGGAAACUAUCACACAAAGCCUUAUCGGUGGGUGACGCUCUGGUACGAAGAGGCAUUAAUGUCAAUGGGGAGUGUAAGCGGUGUGGAGGAAGAGAAAGUGAAAUCCAUGUGUUUUUUCAUUGCCCUUUUGCUGCAAAAGUGUGGGAUCUCUUGCCCGCUCUUCAAAAGUCCCUCAGUUCCACUGCAACAAUCCCACAACUUCUUGAAAGCAGCAAGCGUAUUAUCAAUCUACCUCCUUCGGGUGUCUCGCAGCCGUUAUACCCAUGGGUAUUAUGGAAUCUAUAGACUAGCAGAAACCAGCUCCUGUUCGAAGACAAGACCUAUACAGAGCUGGAGGUCCUCAACAAAGCUAUCCGAGAUGCACGAGAAUGGAGUUGGGCUCAACCCCUCAGCACGUUAAAAGCUACGACUAAACUAGCCCCCCCACCGAUGAUAUGCAACGAUCCCUCUAUCUUACUCUGUUUUACAGAUGGUGCUUGGGAUGCAAGCUCGAAGAAGUGCGGGAUGGGGUGGACUUUCAAAGACAAGGCGGGAUUGCUUCUGGCGCAAGGUUCUGAUGCAAGGGGCUAUGUCAAAUCCGUCCUAAUGGCAGAAGCUCUAGCACUGAAGACUGCGAUCUCGGCUGCAAUCCAUUUAGGCUUCCUCAACCUGAGGUGUCUUUCAGACUCUAGUAGUCUCAUUUCUCUGCUCACUACAGAUUCCUCUGUCACUGAGCUCCAAGGGAUCCUCCACGACAUCCGCGUGUUGAGUAGUUCCCUUUUAUCUAUUUCUUUUGCUUUUACGCCUCGAGCUUCAAACGUAUGUGCGGACGGUUUAGCCAAAUCAGCCCUACGUUUGUUUGUAAACUCUCCUCCUCUAAUUGAGUAACUUUGUUUAUUUUGAAUUAUGAAUGAAUGUUUGACUAAAAAAAAAUCUUCCGGGAUUAAAACCUAAACUCUAAACCCUAUAUACUUAUGCAAAUAUAUAUACAAAUAUAUUUUACAGAAACAUAUAUAUAUAUUUUUUGGUCAAAACAUAUAUAUAUAUAUAUUUAUCUAAACCCUAAACUCUACGUACUUAUCCAUAUACAUAUAUUUUUUGAGCAACACGCAACACACAUACAUAUAUAUUCAUACCUAACCCUAAAUCCUAAGGUUAAAACCCUAACGCUAGGAUUAAGCCCUAGAGUUGAAACACCUAAACGAUGGGUUAAACCAUAAACCCUAUAUACUUACACAUAUACAUAUAUAUAUAUACUUGCUCAUAUAUAUAAGCAUAUAUUCAGACGCAUAUACAUAUAUAUAUACCAUGCAUAUUUUACAUACACACAUACAUAUUUAUUUGCCUAAACCAUAUAUACUUACGCAUAUACAUACAUAUAUAUAUACAUAUAUUCAUACCUAAAUCCUAAAUCCCCCCUAAACCCCCUAUGGUUAAAACUUAAACCCUAAACCCAAAAAAAACCCUAAACCCUAUAUAUUUAUGCAUACAUACAUAUAUAUAUACUUACGCAUAUGCAUAUAUUCAUAUAUAAAUAUACAUAUACAUAUAUUCAUACCUAAACCCUAAACCCUAGAAUUAAUCUUAAACCCUAUAUAUUUACGCAUACACAUACAUCUAUACAUAUGCAUAACCCAAACCCUAAACCACUAGGGUUAAAACCUAAACCCUAAAUCCUAUAUACUUACGCAUAUACAUACAUAUAUACAUAUAUUCAUACCUAAACCCUAAACUCUAGGGUUAAAACCCAAACCCUAAACCCUAUAUAUUAAUGCAUAUUCAUACAUAUUUAUUACUCAUAUGCAUAUAUUUAUAUACUUAUAUUCAUAGCUAAACCCUAAACCAUAGGGUAAACCCAAAACCCUAAACCCUAAACCCAAAACUCUAAACCCUAGGGUUAAACCCACACUCUGGGUUAAACCCUAAACCCUAACUCUAGGGGUAAACCUUAAACCCUAACCUAAACCCUAACCUAAGGCUUAAACCCUAACCUAAACCCUAACCCUAGGCUUAAACCCUAAACCCUAACCCUAGGCUUAAACCCUAAACCCUAACCCUAGGGUUAAACCCUAAACCCUAACCCUAGGGUUAAACCCUAAACCCUAGGAUUAAACCCUAAACCCUAACCCUAGGGUUAAACCCAAACCUAAACCGUAGGGUUAAACCCUAAACCAUAACCCUAGGGUAAAACCCUAAACCCUAACCCUAGGGUUAUACCCUAAACCCUAACCCUAGGGGUAAACCCUAAACCCUAACCUAAACCCUAACAAUAGCGUUAAACCCUAAACCCUAACCUAAACCCUAACAAUAGCGUUAAACCCUAAAUCCUAAACCCUAACAAUAGCGUUAAACCCUAAACCCUAACCUAAACCCUAACAAUAGCGUUAAACCCUAAACCCUAACCUAAACCCUAACAAUAGCGUUAAACCCUAACAUAUAUGCAUAUAUACGUAUACAUAUAUUAAACCCUAAACCCUUCGGUUAAACCCUAAACCCAAUAUACUUACGCAUAAACAUAGAUAUAGACAUAUAUUCAUACCUAAACUCUAAACCCAAGGGUUAAAACCUAAACCCUAAACCCUAGGGUUAAAACCUAUACCCUAAACCCUAGAAUUAAAACUUAAACCCUAAACCCUAUAUAUUUACUUAUAUACAUAUUAUAUACAUAUACAUAUGCAUAUAUAC